rnacentral:lncRNA from 1 species
ACAAAAACACUUUUUCCCGUGCUAAAAACUAUUUUUUCACGCCAAAACCUCAAAACGCAUUUUCCCGCUAAAAUUGCAAAAAAAUGUUUUUCCGUCAAAAUUGCAAAAACGUGUUUUUCCGCAAAAACCAAAAACAUGUUUUCAUGCCAAAAUCACAAAAAAAAAAGUUUUCACGCCAACACCCCAAAAUACAUUUUUUCCGUUAAAACACAAAAAAACACGUUUUCCCGCCAAAGUCACAAACCGUGUUUUCCUGCCAAAAUUGCAAAAACGUGUUUUCCCGCCAAAACCAAAAAAUGUGUUUUCCCGCCAAAACCAAAAAAACCUGUUUUCUCGCCAAAACCGAAAAUUUGUAUUUUCCCGCCAAAACCGAAAAAUCUCAUUUUCCCGCGAAAACCGUAAAAAUGUGUUCCCGCCAAAAACGUGUUUUCCCGCAAAAACCGCAAAACGCGUUUUUCCGCCAAAACCGCAAAAAACGCGUUUUUCCGCCAAAACCGCAAAAAUGCGUUUUUCCGCCAAAACCGCAAAAACGCGUUUUUCCGCCAAAACCAUAAAACGCGUUUUCUCGCCAAAACCGCAAAAACGAGUUUUCCCGCCAAAACCGCAAAACGCGUUUUCUCGCCAAAACCGCAAAAACGCGUUUUCCCGCCAAAACCGCAAAAAUGCGUUUUCCUGCCAAAACCGCAAAAACUCGUUUUCCCGCCAAAACCGCAAAAGCAUGUUUUCCCGCCAAAAUCGUAAAAAUGUGUUUUCCUCCAAAAACGCAAAAAUGUGUUUUUCUGCCAAAAACGCGUUUUCCAGACAAAACCGCAAAAACGCGUUUUUCCGCCAAAAUCGCAAAAAUGCGUUUUUCCGCAAAAAUCGCAAAAAUGUGGUUCCCUCCAAAACCGCAAAACCUUGUUUUCUCGCCAAAACCAAAAAUUUGUAUUUUUCCGCCAAAACAGAAAAAUGUCGUUUUCCCGCCAGAACCGAAAAAUCUUGUUUUCAGCCAAAACAUAAAAAAUGUGUUUUCUCGCUAAAACCGUAAAAACUUGUUUUUCCGCCCAAACUGUAAAUAAUUAAAUAUAAUAUAGUUAAAAUUAAUAUUAAACAUAUGAUUAAAUCAACACAAGGAUAUUUCAAUAAUUUCUUUACUAAACUCAUUUGAAUGGAAAUGAAAAUAAAGAAACAAACAUAAGAUCCAUUUAGAUGAUUCAUCUAGAUGAGCUAUGUGGAUGGACAAACAAACAAUCACAAAAAUCUGAAUGGAUCAUUUGAAUAUAUCAUACAAAUGAAUCAUUUGGAUGGAGAUGGCAAAUGGUGAAACAAACAGCCCCUAUAUGGUUUUUAGGUUUGAAUUCCAUAUUAUUUCAACUAAUAAAUGUCAUAGAUAAUAGUUUCCAAGACAAUCAAACGAUCAUCCAAAUAACUUAAAUUUAACCGAAAAAAAAAUCCUCAGGAUGAAAAAGAGCAAAACUUCCACUUAAACCUCGCCGUUCAACAGUGUGGAGAUUAUAAAGAACUCAAGAUUGUUGUUGGCUGUUGCCUUAGCUUUCCUGAGUAAUUUAUACCAACAUAACGAGAGAUACCGUCAAUCGUUUGUGUUCACAAAGUGCGGUGCAUAGCUCGCCAUUUCCACAAUGUCACUGCAACAAAGAAAAGCAUCAAGAAGAUGUUUUUCACUCAUAGCCUUAGAAGAUGAGAGGGAAAGCUGAAGAAGAAGAAACAUGUUCUUUUCAAGACCAAUGAGAAACGCAGCUUCUGCAAGAGCAGCGAGAAUGGCUUCCUGCGCCAGCAUCUGUUGAGUGGACUACGGUCCCGUAGUUUUUCCUUUUCACAUCGAGGAGGUUUUCCACGUAAAAAGUGAUUGUCUCAUUUAUACGUUUCUGCUUAUACUAUAUUCUGCCAUCGUCGAAGUAUUUUCUUCACAGGUUCACACAAAGUCAGGGGAACACGACCAUUAGUAUUUCCGCUGCGCCGUGUGACUUUUCCCAACAGAGUGGAUCACUUGAAUGCGUUUCAGGGAUUGCUCAACAAGUUGUAUGAUAUGGGCAUCAGGUUUGAUGAUGAGAUUCACGGUCUAUGGUUUCUCGGUACUUUACCAGACUCUUGGGAGGUUUUCAGGAUGUCUCUUUGUAACUCCGCGUCGGAAGGUGUUAUUUUGAUGGAUUCAGUGAAGAACAGUGUUCUUAAUGAGGAAGCAAGAAGGCAGUUGAAUGCUAGUAGUUCGCGUCAGAUGCCUUUGUUACUGAGUCUAGGGGGAGAAGUACCAGUAGAGAUCCCAAGAGAGACAAGAGCAGGAGCAGGAGCAAGUCUAAUAGAUUUGCAAAUAUGGAGUGCUAUUUCUAUCAUAAGAAAGGGCACAUGAAGAAGGAUUGCUGGAAGUUGAAAAACAAGCAGCAAGGAAAUCAAGAAGAAAAGGUGGAUCAGGUGACUCUCACCGAAGAUCAGUUUCUGAUUCUUCUUGAGGGUGAUGCCAUUAAUGUCGCAUACCAGGACACCAGUUGGGUGAUUGAUAGUGGAGCUACUACUCAUGCUACAUCACAGCGGGAUUUGUUUUUUACCUUUACUACGGGUAAUUAUGGUUCUGUGAAGAUGGGGAAUGAUGCGAUGGCUCAAGUUGCUGGCAUUGGUGAUGUUUGCUUGGAGACUAGUCUUGGUACUAGGCUGGUGCUUAAGGAUGUUAAGCAUGUUCCUGAUAUUAGGAUGAAUCUGAUAUCGACGGGAAAACUUGAUGAUGAGGGUUUUUUCAGUUUGCACGGUGGUAAAUGGAAGCUCUCUCGCGGUUCUUUGAUUGUGGCUCGAUGUGAGAAGUCUUCAUCUUUCUAUUGGAUGCAGGCUAAGGUAUCCAAAGAUGUUGUUAAUGCGGUGGAGAAUGAUAAUGCCAUGGAGUUAUGGCAUAAAAGACUCGGUCACAUGAGUGAGAAGGGAAUGGCUGUGUUGUCUAAGAAUGAGGUGAUUCCAGGAAUCUCUGGUUUGCACCUACAGAAGUGUUCGCAUUGCUUUUCGGGAAAACAACACAAGGUAUCUUUCAAGUCUUCCGCACCUUCUAGGAAACCCGAGGUACUGGAUUUGGUACACUCAGAUGUGUGUGGUCCAAUGAAGACAAGAUCUUUUGGUGGCGCAUCAUAUUUUAUGACUUUCAUUGAUGAUCAUUCAAGGAAGUCGUGGGUAUAUCCUAUGAGGACGAAGGAUCAGGUGCUGGGAUAUUUCAAGCAUUUUGUAGCAUUGUUUGAGAGACAAACAGUGAAAAAGCUGAAGUGUAUCCGCAGUGAUACUGGUGGAGAGUAUCUUGGACCAUUUGAUGCUUAUUGCAAAGAGCAUGGAAUAAGGCAUCAGUUCACGCCACCUCAUACUCCACAGUUGAAUGGGUUGGCUGAAAGGAUGAAUCAGACGAUUGUUGAGAGGAUGAGAUGUUUGAUCUUACAGUCAUGCUUAUCGAUGACUUUCUGGGCAGAAGCUUUGAACACGGUGGUUCAUAUGCUGAAUUUGUCACCAAGUACUCCAUUGGAUGGUGAUGUUCCAGAGAGGGUUUGGACUGGUAAGGAUGCUUCUUACAGUCACUUGAGGGUCUUUGGGUGUAAGGCAUUUGUUCAUAUUCCCAAGGUUGAUAAAUCGAAGCUUGAGAUGAAGUCGCGGCAGUGUGUGUUCAUCGGUUAUGGUCAGGAUGAGUUCGGGUACAGAUUUUAUGAUCCCGUUGAGAAGAAGCUCAUAAGGAGCAGAGAUGUUGUGUUUAUGGGAGAUCAAACGAUUAAGGACAUUGACAAGUCUAAAAAGCCAACUCAGAUUUUUGUGGGUUUGAUCGAUACAGAGGCUACUCCUUCUACAUCGGUUCACGGUGAGGUUGAGGUUGAGGAUGAGGUUCAGGAUAAUACACCCAGUGCAGAUGCUCCCGCACAUGAAGAUUGUAGUGGUGAUCAUGGUGACGAUCAUGGUGAGACACCAGCUGCUGAGAACCAACCUACCACUGUUAGAAGAUCCGAGAGAGGUCUUAAACCGUCGACAAGGUAUGAUCCUAGUGAGUAUGUAUUACUUACUGAUGGGGGAGAGCCAGAAAGCUAUGAAGAAACUUUGGAGGAUGAACACAAGGAUAAGUGGUUUGGAGCCAUGGAUGAGGAGAUGGAUUCUUUUGAGGAGAACCAUACUUUUGAGUUGGUGGAAUUGCCUAAGGGCAAGAAGGCUCUGCUUAAUAAGUGGGUGUACAGAAUUAAGCAUGAGAAUGACAAUUUGCCACCUCGACACAAGGCUAGAUUGGUUGUGAAACGCUACAGCCAAAAGAAGGGAAUUGAUUAUGAUGAAAUUUUUUCUCCUGUUGUGAAAAUGUCAUCCAUUCGGGUUGUACUUGGAUUGGCAGCGAGCCUUGAUCUAGAGGUUGAGCAAAUGGAUGUGAAGACUGCUUUCUUUCAUGGUGAUUUGGAGGAAGAGAUCUACAUGGAACAACCGGAAGGCUAUGUGAAAAAGGGCAAAGAAAAUUUGGUUUGCCGCUUGAAGAAAAACCUUUAUGGAUUAAAGCAAGCACCAAGGCAGUGGUACAUGAAGUUCAAGUCUGUUAUGGGGGAGCAUGGUUAUGGAGAGACUGAUUCAGACCAUUGUGUAUUUGUGAAAGUGUUCGGCGAGGAUGAUUUUAUCAUCUUGUUGCUGUAUGUCGAUGAUAUGUUGAUUGUGGACAGGAACAUGUAUAGAAUUAAGGAGCUGAAAGAGCAGCUAAGCAUGUCCUUUGCCAUGAAAGAUAUGGGUCCAUCGAAACAGAUUCUCGGUAUGAGAAUUAUUCGAGAUAGAGGUGAGAAGCUGAUUCACUUAUCUCAGGAGAAGUACAUUGAAAAAGUACUUAAGCGGUUUCACAUGGACAAGUCUAAAGUGUUGAGUACUCCUCUUGCUCCACACUUGAGACUGAGCAGUCAACAAAGUCCGAAGACAUAUGCGGAGAAGGAAGAUAUGGCGAAGGUUCCAUAUGCUUCUGCAGUGGGUAGUUUGAUGUAUGCCAUGGUUUGUACAAGACCAGAUUUAGCCUACGCCGUUGGAAUUGUCAGCAGGUUUCUCUCCAAUCCGGGAAGAGAACAUUGUAAUGUUGUGAAGUGGAUUUUGAGAUAUCUCUGAGGGUCUUCUGAUUUGAAGAUUACAUUUGGAGGUAAGAAGCCAUUGCUUGUCAGUUACACUGAUUCUGACAUGUCGGGAGAUGCUGAUUCUAGCAAAUCUACUUCGGGUUACUUGGUAACAUUUGUGGGUGGAGCUGUGGCAUGGCAGUCAAGAUUGCAAAAGUGUGUUGCACUAUCUACCACUGAGGCAGAGUUCAUUGCUGCAGUUGAAGCUUGUAAAGAGUUGUUGUGGAUGAAGAACUUCUGUGAAGAGAUCAGUUUCAAGCAAGAAAAUUAUGUGUUGCUUUGUGAUAGUCAAAACGCUAUUUGUCUCAGGAAGAAUUCUACAUUUCAUUCGAAGUCAAAACACAUUCAGAGGAGGUAUCAUUGUAUACGUGAUGUGGUUGCUUCUAAGGAAGUGGAACUUGAAAAAGUUCAUACGGAUGAUAAUGGAGCUGAUAUGAUGACGAAGUCAUUACCGAGGGGGAAGCUUGAAGUAUACCGAGGGAUAGCCGGAAUGGUUGUUUCCUCCACCUAGUCGGAGGGGAAUUGUGUUGGGUUCCUCCUAGAUGGAGGUAACCCAUUGGGUUUGGUUUUGACAACCAAACUUGGUGUUGGGCAAUGGUAUUAGCACAUGAGGUUAGUAUUGGGUCUUGGGAGUUAAUGACCCAUAAUGUAAGUCUCCUAACCUAAUUUGGAGAGUGGUUGCAGACAUAACACGAGCAGACAAGAUCAGACUCACAAUAAUAGAGUUUAGAGAUAGACAAAAGAGAGAAAGAAGAGAGAAGGAGGAGAAAACUCGUCAGGCUAUUUCAAGACUGGUUUUAGAGGAUCAAACGGAACUUAAUCGGGCUGAUAUUUUGUGGGAAGCUUCUUCAGUCAGUGGGUUAGAGGUUCACCGAAAGGAUUUGGAUUUCAAAGGUUGAAUUUUCUGGGUUUUAGUGAAGCUGGUCGUCACAGUUCUUCAGCGGGAUAGUCUUGGGGGUUUGGUAAAUCCGACGGUGAGAUCUUCUCUUCUUGAGCUGAAAUUUGGCAGAGGUAUUUUUUACUUGUUUAUUUUGGAUUUGUACGGUUGGAUUAGUCUCUCGAUGCCGGAAUCCUUGUGAGCUGAGGUCGUUUGGUUGCUGCCGGUUUUGAAGGUUUGUGUUGCUCUCUUGUUGUUGUUGUUGUUUGUGUUGGAGAUAGCUCUUUGAAGCUAGUGUCUCUGUUCUGUUCUUGUUGUUGAACAGGGAGGACGUGGUUGUACUCACAAAUAUUUAUAUAGUGGAUUGUUGAGUGGACUACGGUCCCGUGGUUUUUCCUUCUCACAUCGAGGAGGUUUUCCACGUAAAAAGUGAUUGUCUCAUUUACGUUUCUGCUUAUACUAUAUUCUGCCAUCGUCAAAGUAUUUUCUUCACAGGUUCACACAAGGUCAGGGGAACAUGACCAUUAGUAUUUCCGCUGCGCCGUGUGACUUUCCCCAACAGAGUGGUAUCAGAGCUUCUAGUUUUAGAGCUUUGGUUUUGAUAACUUUGGGUUAUUAUUUGCUUGUGUGAAAGAUGGAAAAUAUGAGCAGGAUGAUAAGCUUGGAUGGUGCUAACUAUCAUCUAUGGAAGGGCAAGAUGGAUGAUUUGCUCUUUGUUAAAGAAUUCCAUGUUCCAGUCUUCGAGGAGAAGAAACCUGAGAAGAAGACGGAUGAAGAGUGGAAACUGCAGCAUCGCCAAGUGUGUGGGUUGAUAAGGCAGUGGGUAGAUGAUAAUGUGUUGCAUCAUAUUGAGACUGAGACGGAUGCUUGUUCUAUGUGGAAGAAGCUGGAGCAGUUAUAUGCUAGGAAGACCGGAAACAACAAGAUGUACAUGAUCAAGAAGUUGAUUGAGUUGAGGUAUCAGGAGGGGACUCCGAUGACGGAUCACUUGAAUGCGUUUCAGGGAUUGCUCAACAAGUUGUCUGAUAUGGGCAUCAAGUUGUUUCCGGUCUUCCUAGCAUAUAACUGCUCCAGCUUCUUCCACAAAGAACGAGCAUCCGUCUCAGUCUCAAUAUGAUGCAACACAUUAUCAUCUACCCACUGCCUUAUCAACCCACACACUUGACGAUGCUGCAGUUUCCACUCUUCAUCCGUCUUCUUCUCAGGUUUCUUCUCCUCGAAGACUGGAACAUGGAAUUCUUUAACAAAGAGCAAAUCCUCCAUCUUGCUCUUCCAUAGAUGAUAGUUAGCACCAUUCAAGCUUAUCAUCCUGCUCAUAUUUUUCAUCUUUCACACAAGCAAGUAAUAACCCAAAGUUAUCAAAACCAAAGCUCUAAAACCAGAAGCUCUGAUACCAUUCUGUUGGGGAAAGUCACAGAGCGCAGCGGAAAUACUAAUGGUCGUGUUCCCCUGACCUUGUGUGAACCUGUGAAGAAAAUACUUCGACGAUGGCAGAAUAUAGUAUAAGCAGAAACGUAAAUGAGACAAUCACUUUUUAAGUGGAAAACCUCUUCGAUGUGAGAAGGAAAAACCACGGGACCGUAGUCCACUCAACAAUCCACUAUAUAAAUGUUUGUGAGUACAACCACGUCCUCCCUGUUCAACAACCAGAACAGAACAGAGACACUAGCUUCAAAGAGCUAUCUCCAACACAAACAACAACAACAACAAGAGAGCAACACAAAGCUUCAAAACCGGCAGCAACCAAACGACCUCAGCUCACAAGGAUUCCGGCAUCCAGAGACUAAUCCAACCGUACAAAUCCAAGAUAAACAAGUCAAAAAUACAUCUGCCAAAUUUCAUUGCAAGAAGAGAAGAUCUCACCGUCGGAUUUACCAAACACCCAAGACUGUCCCGCUGAAGAACUGUGACGACCAGCUUCACUAAAACCCAGACAACAGAAAAUCCAACCUUUGAAAUCCAAAUCCCUUCGGUGAACCUCUAACCCACUGACCUUUCCACAAAAUAUCAGCCCGAUCAACUUCCGUUUGAUCCUCCAAAACCAGUCUUGAAAUAGCCUGACGAGUUUUCUCCUCCUUCUCUCUUCUUUCUCUCUUUUGUCUCUCUCUAAACUCUAUUAUUGUGAGUCUGAUCUUGUCUGCUCGUGUUGUGUCUGCAACCACUCUCUAAAUUAGGUUAGGAGACUUACAUUAUGGAUCAUUAACUCCCAAGGCCCAAUACUAACCUCAUGUGCUAAUACCAUUGCCCAACACCAAAUUUGGUUGUCAAAACCAAACCCAAUGGGUUAACUCCAUCUAGGAAGAACCCAACAGCAUCUUUUCCAGUCACAGCAUACUCACUGACAAAAUCCUGCAAAAAAAAGUUGCACGAGUGAGCAAAGAUAACGCUAAAAAGCCUCAUAUAAUCUAUAACAACAACACCCUUGGACCCUUGCGUGAAGUGCCGUCGAAUUGAUGAUACAUGGAAAACAAACUGCUAGCAGAAGUGUAUAUCUGUGACAAAAGGAAAACACUUUCUUUCAGACAGAAACACACACACAAAAGAAACAGUUUCAAAGUUAUGUUUUUACAUGAAAAUCAUAGUAAUCAGCAGGAUGGUCAAGCAGACUAGAUGAUCCAUCACAGUUGGAGAUGAUUUUGAUAUCUGAGAGUAAGCCUUUUUGAUAGUAUCAUAUAACACAAUGUAGUUUCCUGUACAGUUGUAAAUCUCAUCUAGAGUCAAAGAAGACAAUCACUAAAAGGUCAAGUGUGAGUGUUUCCACAAUCCUCGUUCCCAAUAGCAACUUACUUCAGUUCAAAAGGCUCUUGGCGUCCGAUUAGAGCUCCAACAGAUCCCCAUGUAGAGUUAGCAUCUCCUCUGAGCAAACUCGAUACCAUCAAGUGCUUCCUGAAAAAGAAAAAAGAAGAAGGAGAAGAAGUUUUGGUUUUGAGCUUCUUGGCUAAUGAAACACAAGAGUGGUUUUAACAGUCAUACUUGAACAAAAGGCAAUGAAUACUGGCGGUUUCAACUUCAUCUUAUGACUAAUCCCUGCAUAAAGGUUGAAGCACUUGUAAAGAACAACAACGUCAAUGGAUGUGGAAUACAAACAGAAUGUUACGAGACUACCGUUGUUGAACACCCAAAUUGGGGCUGCUCCAAUGUCUUCAAAGCAUAAUGAACGGCCCACCAGUUUCAAGCCCUGUACAAAACCAAAAGCUUAAGAAUGAUUAGUCUUUCAUGGCUUUUUUCACGAUUAGUUUAGCUAAGAUUCUAACCUCUGUCGCUAACGAGUUCAGCCAGCACCAGCAUGGUUUAUCUCCUGCAGAUGAUUUGAACCAUAUUAGCAUUAAAGAAAACUCGGCUUGUAACGUUUUUAGCAAACCUUGAAGAAAAUGCCGAAAAGAGUAUCAGGAAUGACUCUUCCAGCUCCAUUAGAAGCAUUAACUUGCAAAGUCGCGGCUGGUUGUGUUGUAUCUUGUUCUUGAGAAGCUAUAACAACAACAUGAAGGCUUUGAUCGAGACAAGAAAUAGGUUGAGGAUCAGACAGAAGAGGGGAUGGAAGUAUUAAAGAAUGUCUGUUUUUGUCGAAAUAUUUUGCUUAAGAGUAACAAGCAAAAAAAAUUGAAGGAAAACUUGCUUUCACGUUUGAUGGAAUUGCUUGUUUUCGUGGAAGAAGGUGGAUGUUGAUUAGAAGCCACGACUACUCCCUGAAACCCUCAUUCCUUCCUUCACCUGCUCAUCGACUUUUUUUUUAAUGUGAUAAAGAUUGUUUUUCUAUUUUUUUUGGGCAUAAUGAUGAAUUUUUUGCAUUGAGUUCCACUUCUACAUUGACAUAUUUUUUUUUUCUAGUACGUUAGAAACAUUCAUGUCAACUAAAAGUUAACUUUUUCGCGCGGAAUAUUGUUUUAUUAUUGCUAAGAGCAUGAUUUUAUUUUUGGAUAAUGUAAUUAUGUUAUCGUUUUUAUUUGUUAAGAUCAUUAUUUGAUGUUUUUAGUUUGUUAUGUAGUAGGUGAUAAGUUAAUAUAUUUUGCGUUUGUUUUUUUUUGAAUAAUGUGUUGUUGUGUAUAUAGUACUUGUUAGUAGUCAAAUGAGCUUCUAACGUAAACUAAUAUUGAAUUUCAAUAACUUUGCAUCUACGCAUUUGUUGAUUCUAAGAUUAACGGUUUCAUCGUCAAAAUUGUAUUAUAUUUUUUUCAUACUUUUGAAAAUUAUAAUUUUUAAGAUGUUUUUUGCCUUCUCCCCAUAUUUUAAACUUGAGCCCUCACCGUCUAUGUAUUUCGUUACAAAUCUGGUGUGCGGUGCUUCUCACCAUCACCGGAAAAAGACUCACAUUUUUCUCUUGUUCUUCUUGUCUUCUUCACCUAUGAGAUUAUAUGGUAUUUGUUGCAGAAUGGGUUUAUGAGUUUUCAGUUGUUCGGUUGCUUCCCACGGCAUUGUAUGUUGUUCCAGUCAAUAUUGAUUGCUCCUCUUCUUCCUUAGAUUUCAGCUGAUGUUAGGAACUGCAUCUCCUUGGUUGGGUCAGAGUUUAUUCGUCUUUGAUUUUGUAUUCCUCGUCGUUGGCUUACCGUCAAUAGUCUCUGCUCGUUUUGGUUUUCAAGAUCCAGUUUUUGGUGUUCUGACUUCUAUGCUCUCUUUCAUAUAUAGCUCGAGGACGGCUCCAUAGUUUUCUGAUUUCGCUCCGUCUCCCUUUCCCUCUCUAUUCUUGCAUCUCUUUGCAGCUUUCAUCGCAUCUCUGGUGGCUCUCCCUUUCACCAUGUUUGCCAGUCGAGAUUUGGAUAAUGUUUUCGUUCGUGUAUGCUAUGUGGGCUUGGAAGGUUAUUUCUGGUCUCAAGUUUAGUCUCUGAUUUUUUGGUGGUUGUCUUCCAUUCUCCCUCUCUCAAGUUGCUUCUUUUCUUUCCAUGUUUUCCUUGGUAUAGGUGUGCGGAGUUAGUCUCUUGGAGCUUUGGUCCCUUCUAUCCAGAGCUUUGUGGUUUUUCAGUUGCAUGCCGUAUUGUAUGUUCUUUUUUAGUCUGUGAGGUGUUUCUUUCUUUUUAGCUACUGGUUGUGAUUCCGGUGUUUUAGGAAUAUAUUUUUCUGCUUUUUGGUGGCUUUGGCCUUUCGAUUAUUAUUCUUCCUUUGGCCCGCUUUUUUAGUUUAUGUGUUGGUUGUCUAGUUUCUUAUUCUUAAUUUGAUUAUCUUAUGAUACUAAUAUUGAAAUAAAUAUAAUUUGUAAAUGAAAUAAUAAAAAUUAGUAAAAAUAAUAAAAUGAUGAAAAGUCUUGCUAUUUUUAGGUGUGAAUAAAUUAAAUAUUUAAAAUAUAUUUAUAUUAUUUUAUUUAUUUCUUGAAUUUUAGAGACCAAUAAGUGUGAGAAGGAUUAGAUAAUACACAAUUAGAAAUUGAUGGAGAAAAUUGCAAUAAUUUAAAAGAAAAAGAAUUUAAAUACACAAAAAAACAUGAGGACACAUGUCAACAAACCCCCCUUCCACAUGUCAUAAGAAGGGAAAAAGCCAACUUUAUAUAUAAAGAUUGAUAACUUGUAUUUUGUAAUUAAACACAUUCUAUAUAAAAUAUUAUUACUCCUUGUUUGCUUAUCAAAUGAAAACUCAGAUGUGUGUUUACUUAUGUAUAAUGUUCUGUUUUAUUUAAUUUCAGGUUCGUUAGUAGUGGGAUGAACUUAUUUUGACUCAAUAAAACUGAAGCUGUAUGAAUUGUUAGUCACUUAUGUGUUUUUAGUACUAUCCACCUUUGUGGAACCAACCGAGUUUGUGUAUCGGUUUGCUUGUUUUUUCAUCUUGAGAUCUAUGAGCAGAAGGCGUAUGGGAGGAAGAACCGAAGAGAGAAACAAUUAGUGGCUUACAUUAAGAGUCACAGCAUCAGCAUCUCAGCUUCCGUUCUCUACUUAAUGACGAUGGAGAUUUAACUAGAGAAUAAGCGUGAAAAAAAGACUAAUUUGUCAAACUAAAUUUAAUUACGUUUUCUACUUUUGAUGAUAUAAAACUAACUUCAUGUUCAAAUUUUCAAGUUUCAACGGACCAAACCCGAUGAAAAGUUAGAUUACUAGAGAGAGGAAUGAUUUAUAUAGCAAAUGGUGGUGGUGAGUUCAUAGCUGGCAUUUAGUGUCCUGGUCUUCUCUCACCAAGACAGACACCAUCAUCUGAUAUUUUUGCUAGCUAUAAAAGCUAUUGCUUUCUUCAAAUAGUACCUUGCCGGACUCUAUGUUCUUUGUUUAUCAUUAAACACAGAAGGAUCAUUCCAUAAAAAGAUCUCACCUAAGAACCUAAUUCCAAUUUCUUUUGAACAUUUUGGUUCACCAGGAGUAAACUAACUCCACCAUCAAAGAUUGGUUAGGGGUUCAUUCAAAGUUCGAUAAUAAUAAUAAAAUUAAGAAAUAAAUUCAAAAGAGAGGGUAGAUGUCUUGUUAUACAACAGAAAAGAGAGCUCCUAAAUGCCACUUAAAUAUCUAUAUAGAUUCUGUUUUCUUAAUACAGACAUUGAAGGUACUCAAAACACUAAAUUCUUGUCAGGGAUUGCUUGCAGAAGGAUGCCUGCAGGGUAAAGAAAAGAGUAAGCAAUGGCUAUCAGGAAUAAUCUAAUGGACAAAACAACAACAGUUUAGUACGAGCAAACCUGAAGUCUGGACGGUUCAACGAAUGCACAUAGUUCAUAGAGGGCAAGUUCGGCCACGGUGUGUAACCACCCGGGUUGUUAAUAAACGGACUCAUAACCGGAUGCCCGUAGCUUAGAUUAGCUUGAUGACCUCUUGGCAUCUGCGGGAAGCCCCCAUCGUGAAAUGGCAUAUGCAUUGGCAUCGGACUGAAGCUUUGACCAGAUGGCAUAACCCUAACGUACCUACAAAACAUGAAUUAAUGGAAUGUCAGCCCGUUCAAGAAGAGAUGGAAUGGUGUUUUUACCUGUAGGCAGGAUCCGCUACAUAUCUGUCAUAGCUCCUGUCAUAAUCAGGAUCGUACCGAUCUUUCUCCCUAUCUCUGAUAAUAGCUACUCUAGAAGUCCUCGAACCACCAGCAUCAACAGCAGCACUAUUACUAACCGCCACGUCAUUCUCAUUUCGGUUUACACCUUCAAGAGGAGGAGAAUCUUCAGAGUCAGAGCUACUAGGACUGUUAAAGAUCCGAGCCCGGGCCUUAUCAUACUCUUCUUUCCUCUCCUCAACACUCCUCAGAAGAUUCUGCUGCACUCCACACCCGCCACCUCCGCUCCCGGAUCCUCUCUUGGGUCUAGCCUUGAUUGCAAUCUUGAAGCCCUCUGGUCUACCGUUCUCAGGCUGCUUAACGGGGAUUUCUGAUAAGCAGACGUGAGGAAACCUGCUCUCGGCUGUCUUUGUCACCAAGAUCCUGUUGUCUGAUCCGUCUAGAGAACCGUUACCGUUCUCCAAAGACAUUGUCGCUAGUCCGUAAUGCUGAGCGACUCGGUGUGCGGCGAGACGCAGGUAAGACGUUGGAAAGGGUUGGAACUCGAACUGGAGCUGGUCAGGGUUUUGAAAGAACUUUUGUAUGUCGAGCUCCAUACGCAGAACUGAAACACGUAACGACAAAAAGAUGCAACCUUUAUCCAUCAUCACCCAUCAACCACAUUUAAAGAAUCUUUCCAGAUAUAGAAAUUAAACGAAAAAGUGUUGACAUUUGAGGGUAAUAAUGCAAAACAGAGUGAUUAGUCAAGUUUCAAUGUUCAUGAUGCCAAUGAAAACAACACGCAACCGUAAUCACCAAAACAUUGAAUCGAGGAAAGGAUUGAACUUUAGAGAAACCCAUGAUUCUCCAAUUCUAUCAAACCCUAGAAAGCUAAUGAGAACAGAUCAAUAUGUGAAAUUGAAUCGUGGGUUUGGGAGAGAAUUGACUAACUGGUGAGACGAUGACGAGGGUUCUGAAGAGCUUCGACCAGGAAAGGAUCCACCAUAGCUUCCUUCUCGGUCAUAGGGGCGGCCAUAGAUUAGCUUAUCUCUCUCUCCUCUGUUUUGAAAUCUCUUUCGCCGGAGAUUAGAAGAGAAAGCACAUCAUGGAGACAAAAAGGAGAUUAUUGUUUCUGAUGAGCAUUCUGGCGAAACGAUGAGGAUGAAGGAAGAUGAAAAGACCUUCUCGACCUUUAUCUCUCUUUCUCUGCCAAUCAAGUUGGGAGAAUUAAAAAGAAAGUUGCUGCUGCCUUGAGUUUUUUUUUUUUUUUUUUUUAAUAUUCUUUUAUAGGUAGGUCUGUUUUAUUUAUUUUUGUGGAUUAAAUUGUUGGACUUUUGGACAAAUUGAAUAUGUUUUUUUUUUUUUUGAUGACUAAAAUUUAUUUUUUAAGAAGUGGGUUUUGCAAAGUUGAUUUGGUGGAAUCAUAAAAAUAUAAAAAAAGUAUUGAUCUUUCUUCUAGAAGUUGGGUAGUUGUGUGAUACUUCGUUUAUUCAUGUGAAUAGACACUGCAUUUUGUCUAUAAUUACAAAUGUACAAUAGUUUCAUCUAGCAAAGUGGGGGAGACAUUGUACAUUUUGAUCAGAUCAAACCACCACUACAAGAAAACGUGCCCAUAACAACGAAGAUUUACGACGAAAAUAUUUUGUCGUAAAUUUACAUGGUGUUUACAACGCAGUUACGAGGAAUCCAACUUUCGUCGUAAACGCCAUGUAAAUUUAUGACGAAUAAUGUUCGUCGUAAAAUCCAUGUAACUUUACGACGAAAGUACGUGGAAUGAGAAAUACGUCGUAAUCAUUACAUCGACAUUACAACAAAACAUGUUACCGUUAUAUUUAGGUGAAAACGUGUAUUCAAUGUGCUUUAACUUACCUAAUUUCGUCGUAAAGUCGUUGUAAAUAUUAUGUUAAAACCAUGUAAAAUCCAUGUAAAACAUUCCUUGUAAAAUCGUUGUUAUAUUUCAACUACCCAACUCAAAAAUUUCUCUAUAUAUAUGUCAUUUCCCACAACUCUCUUCCUCACAACACACAAACGGAAAAAAAAAUCCAAAAAAAAAUCAGAAAAAAAGAUUUUAAAAAAAAAUCUAAGAAAAAAAUGCCCGGUGGCGGUACAACACAAAAAUAUAAAAUCUAAGAAAAAAAUGCCCAGUGGCGGUGCAAAGUUGAUUUGGUGGAAUCAUAAAAAUAUAAAAAAAUCUAAGAAAAAAAUGCCCGGUGGAAUCAUAAAAAUAUAAAAAAAGUAUUAAAACGGAUCAUAAUUUACCUGAGAAUUGCAUGGAUGCAUGGGCGGAGUUGUUUAAAGAGUAUUUGCCAGAAGACAACGUGUCUGCUGAAUCUUAUUAUGAGAUUCAGAAAUUGGUUUAUAGUCUUGGGUUGCCUUCGGAGAUGAUUGAUGUUUGCAUCGACAACUGCAUGAUCUACUGGAAAGAAGAUGACAAGUUAGAAGAGUGUCGAUUCUGCAAAAAACCACGAUUCAAACCGCAAGGCCGUGGGAGGAAUAGGGUACCGUACCAAAGGAUGUGGUACCUACCAAUUACAGACAGAUUGAAAAGAUUAUAUCAAUCUGAGAGGACUGUUGCGUCGAUGAGUUGGCAUGCGGAACAUGUCCAGAGAGAUGGUGAGGUUGCACAUCCAUCAGACGCAAGAGCGUGGAAACAUUUCAACAAGGUACACGCAAAUUUUGCUACAAAUAUUCGAAAUGUCUAUCUUGGGUUAUGCACCGAUGGAUUUAGUCCAUUUGGAAUGUCUGGUAGACAAUAUUCUUUGUGGCCAGUCAUUCUUACGUCGUACAAUUUACCGCCGGAUAUGUGCAUGGAACAAGAAUUUCUAUUUUUGACCAUAUUAAUCCCUGGGCCGAAGCAUCCAAAACGGUCUCUUGAUGUUUUUCUUCAACCGUUGAUAGAAGAGCUAAAGCAAUUGUGGUCAGAAGGGGUGAGGACGUACGAUUGUUCCUUGAAAAAUAAUUUUACGAUGCGAGCAGACGAUAAGUGAUUUCCCUUCUUAUGGGAUGUUGUCUGGCUGGACAACACAUGGAAGAUUAUCUUGUCCAUAUUGUCUUGGAUCGACGGAUGCUUUUCAACUGAAGAAUGGUAGGAAGAGUUGUUGGUUUGAUUGUCAUCGUCGCUUUCUUCCACUUGCCCAUCCGUACAUAAGAAAUAAGACAUUGUUUCGGCACAAAAAAAAUGUCAGAGACGGUCCUCCUCCAUAUCUCACCGGCCAGCAGAUCGAAGCAGACAUUGAUUAUUACGGAGCUCAGGAAACAGUUAAAGUUGGAGGAAAUUGGCAUGUUCCUGGAAAUAUGUCUGAUGGGUAUGGUGUCUCUCACAAUUGGCAUAAGAAGAGUAUAUUUUGGGAGCUACCCUAUUGGAAGGAUCUUCUCUUACGCCGUAAUCUGGAUGUCAUGCAUAUUGAGAAGAACUUUUUUGAGAAUAUCAUGAAUACAUUACUUAACGUCCCUGGGAAGACAAAAGGUAACAAAAAGUCAAGGAUGGACUUACCUGAUAUUUGCCCAAGAAGUGAGUUACAUAUCAAGAGCAAUGGAAACGUUCCUGUUCCCAUCUUCCGGUUGUUAUCAGAAGCCAAAACAACCUUGUUUGACUGGGUUGCAUCAGAAUUUAAGUUUCCUGAUGGUUAUGUUUCAAAUCUGUCAAGAUGUGUUGAACGAGGUCAAAAGUUCUCCGGAAUGAAGAGUCAUGAUUGUCAUGUGUUUAUGCAACGACUACUUCCAUUUUCUUUUGCCGAGCUCCUUCCAACAAAUAUCCAUGAAGCACUUGCAGGUAAUUAUAAUUUUAUAAUAUAUAUACAUAUGUUAUGAAAUGUUAUUAAUUUGAUUACUUUUGCAAUAUACAGCCAUCGGCGCAUUUUUCAGAGAUCUUAGCACACGUACGUUCAAGGAAGAAGUCAUCGAACAACUUCAUCAUAACAUUCCGAUCAUAUUGUGCAACCUAGAGAAGAUAUUUCCUCCUUCAUUUUUGACGUCAUGGAGCAUCUAGUUGUCCACCUACCGUAUGAAGCAUUGCUUCGUGGACCUGUUCACAACGGAUGGAUGUAUCCGUAUGAGCGACAGAUUAAACAUUUGAAGGGGAAAACAAGAAAUCUUGCAAAGUUGGAAGUUUAAUAGUUGUGGGGAGUUUGACAGCCGAAACAUCUAACUUCACAUCAUACUACUUUGCUCCAACUGUUCGUACAAGAAAAAGAGUUCCUAGAAGAUAUGAUGAUGGUGGAGUACUGACAUCAUAUCCAAUUGAUGGUGUUUCUCACAUUUUCUGCGAAAUUGCACGGUUUGGUGGUAAAACAAAAGAAGUAUGGUGGUCAUGUGAAGAGGAUAAACAUAGUGCCCACACUUAUAUUCUGCUCAACUGCGAGGAUGCAGUGACCCGUUACUUUGAAAGGUAAAUAUUUUUGUGAAUGUUAAUUAUAUGAAUUGAAGUUAAUUAUGUAUGACAUGAUUAUUUGUUUAAUUUGCAGCAUGUUUGUAUCUCAAGUUGAAGAAGUAAUACCAGAAAUAUCUGCAACUGAUGUGGACACACGUAAAGAUAAGCACUUUAUCAAGUGGUUAAAAUCACAGGUACGUAAUAUAUCUCAUACAUUGAUUAAUUAAGUAAGUGUUUUGAUACUUCAAUAUUAAUUAAGAAUAUCUGCUUUUUGCAGGUUGAUUAUGACGAUCCUUAUUGUCCCGUAUGGUUUUACAAAUUGGUUCAAGGUCCAGUUGCAAAGGUCACCACAUCACCUAUGUAUUUCACACGAGGAUUUACCUUUCACACAUACGAGUAUGGGAGACAUCGGGCAACGAGUAACUAUGGAAUAUGUGUGAAAGGUGAAACAGACUUUUACGGGAUCUUGCAGGAGAUUAUUGAAGUGGAAUUUCCGGGGUUAUUGAAGCUAAAAUGCGUCCUCUUCAAAUGUGAAUGGUUCGAUCCUAUUGUGAGCCGAGGGAUUCGGUAUAACAAAUUUGGUGUUGUGGAUGUCAAUUUUGGGAGAAGAUAAAACAAAUUUGAGCCUUUCAUUUUAGCUUCACAAGCCGAGCAAGUUAGCUUCCUUCCUUAUCCUCGGCUUCGAACUUCCAGGAUAAACUGGUUAGGUGCUAUCAAAAUUAUACCUCGUGGAUGCAUUGUCGCUGGAGAAGAACCGCCCUUGCAAGAAGAAGACGCUAUCAAUGAAGUUGAGGUACCAGAACAACCAACUGAUGAAAUCCUUUUGAUCGACCCGCAAAACUUUCAAUAUGAAGAUAUUCCCGAAGAUGCGACAGAUGAAGGACGUGAAGACGAGUUCGAGAGAAGCGACGAUGAUGAUUGUAAUGAUAGUGAUGAGAACGACAACGAAUUAGAGUGAUGUAAUAUUGAUGAGAACGAAAACGAUUUUGAGUGAUGUAUAUGUAACAAAUGUUGUAUUUCUCUAUUGUAACGUAUGUUUAAAGAAAUAUUGUUUUUUUACCAUCUUAAUGUAUGUGUAACAAAUGUUGUUUUAUAUAAUAUGUAUUUCUUUAGUUUUUAAAAAAUUAUUUGGAGUUUUAGGGUUUUAGAGUUUAAGUUGGAGAAAGAGCAAGAAGUAGUAGAGAAGAGAUAUGAUGUUAGAGGAUAUGUGACUUUGGGGUUUAGGGAUUUCAUUCUCGGUAUUUAGGGUUAAGCGUUGUAAAAUCGUCGUAAAUGGUUAUCUAUACCACGUAAUUUCGUCGUAAAUGGAAAAACGCGGGCCUGGUAACUUCGUCGUAAACGCGGGCCUGGUAAAUUCGUCGUAAACCGACGUUUCGACGUAAUUUCGUCGUAAAUCGAAAAACGCGGGUCUGGUAACUUCGUCGUAAAUGAAAAAACGCGGGCCUGGUAACUUCGUCGUAAUAUUACGUCGCGUUUACGAUGAAUCAUUUUCUAUAUAUUGAGACGCCGAGACGGGGCUUCCUCGUUCAUUCCUCCCAAACUCCUUUCCUCUCCCUCUAAGGUAAACUCUCUUUCCUCCUUUUUUUUAAAGUUAGUUUAGGUGAUUAAUUAGUUAGGUAAUUAGUUUAGGUGAUUAGUUAGGUAAUUAGUUUAGGUGAUUAGUUAGAUGACGGAAUACUAUAGUUUAGGUGAUUAGUUAGGUAACGGGAUAAUUUUUUAAUUAUGUCAUCAUAAUUGAUUAAAUUUAUUUAAAUUUUUUUAGAUGACUCAUAGAAGGAAACCAGCAGCACCUACUUAUGCCCAGUUGUUUGGCGAUGGUUCCGGUACAUCUUCUUCCGGUCCAUCGUCUUCCGAUGCAGUUCCAGACUCUCAGACUUCUCAGAGAGUUUUUUCGAGUCCUCCUCUUUCACCGCAGAUGCCUCCACCUCCUCCUCCAGCGGCUGCACCUCAGCCUGUCCCAGAAGGUGCAGUUCAUCCGGAUUUGCGUGUGCCUUCAUAUGCUCCCUUCGCGAGAUAUACGGUGGAGGAUUUGCUUGCCCAGCCUGGACGGGAGGGUUUGGAUGUUCUAGACCCCGAGGAACUUAUUGGUAAGUUAUUAAUUUUUAUUACAUUAAAAUGUAAAUUAUUUUUAUUUUCUAACUGUUAAAUUGUUUUUUUUUUCAGGUUUGGGGCUAACAACCGUGUUAGCCGGAGCGUUUCGGCGACGAUUAAGGGUUGCUACGACGGGGCAUAUCCGAACUGGAGUAAGACACCAAAUCACGUUAAGAUCACGUGGUUUAAAUGUUUUGCAGUAAGAUUUUUAAAUGUAAUUAAAUUUUCACUUUUAAAUAUAUAUAUAUAUUUUUUUAAUAUUUAUUAUUAAUUGUAAUUGUUUCAAAAAUUUUAUGUUUCAGCAAAAGUGGCAUUGGUCUUUGGCAAUCACCGAGAGGGUGAAGGCGGAAUUCGUUGCAAAGGCAAAUAUCCGCCUCUGCAACACAGUCUCUGAUUGGAAGGACAAGUGGGAGAUCUACGGGUAUGAGGGAAAGCCCACUGAGCUCACGACAGAUAUGUGGGAUGGCCUCAUCGCCUAUUGGGAGCACCCCUCUUCGAUCAAAAAGGCCAAUUCGUGCUCGGCUUCUUGAAGGACCAAGGAUAAAGAUGGUCAUUUGCCCAUGCUUCUCAGAACCGGACAAAAAUCUCAUGCAGGAGUUCGUCUAGAAGCUGUAAGUUUUGUUUUAAAUAUAUAUUUUAAAAUAUUCAAUUAAUAUAAUUUAUAAUAUUUAAUUUUUUAUUUUUUUGUAGUUCGAGAAGACGGGAGUCUUACCAUCUCUGUCUGACCUAUUCAAGAUGACUCACGCCACAUCCGACGGAGUUUUUGUGGAUCAUGCAUCAGAGAAACUCUUCCACACAGUGGCUGGUCGGAUUGAAGAACGGGAGACGUAACUAACCCAGGAGUCUCCCGAUGGAUUACCAGUCACAUUGUCCACCGAAGAGGUCGACAGAAUCUUCCAAGAGGUACAACUUAAAAUUUUUGUUUACAUUAUUUUAAAUAUUUUAGCAUAAUUAACUAUAUUAAUAUAUGUUUUGAUUUUAUAGGUGGCUCCUAAAAAUAAGGGACGGAUAGUCGGUAUAGGCUCUGUUAACGAAGUUGCAAGGGCAACUUUGUCAUACACUUCGAGGCGGGAUGAAGAGACUGCUCAGAUGAAGGCUCGAAUGAUAGCCAGCAGGUUCGUUUAGACUCUCUUGAGGAUUUGCUAGACGUGAUGGCCGUGGGAAACCCGGUUAUGCAGAGAAUGUUGAGUGAGAGACGAGCCGCUCUUGGAAUGCCACCACGAGAUCCCCAAGAGUCCGAUCCAACCCGUCAACAGCCGAGCAACCCCACCAACUACUUCGACAAUAUGUAGUUUUUUUUUCUGUUUGUAUUAUGAAUUUAAAUAUUAUUGUAUGACUUUUUAAAAAUAUGUUUUCCAAUUUCAUAUUUUGUUUUAAAAUUUAAAUUAUUUUAAAUUCUGAAUAUUAAAUGUAAAUUAAAAUCUAUUAUAUACUAAUUAAUAAUAAUAUAAUAAGAAACGAUGUAAACUCCUCGUAAACAUUACAUGAAGUUUACAUCGAAUGUUUACGAGUGAUUAACAUCGAAAUAUUUACGAGGAUUUUACAUCGAAAUGUUUACGAGUGAUUUACAACGAAAGUAUUUACGUGUGCUUUACAUCGAAACAAUUACGUGGGCUUUACGACGAAGUCUUACGUGGCGUUUACGACGAAUCCUUUCCCUGCGCUUUACGAGGAAUAUAUUUCGUCGUAAAUGUAACGAGUCGUUUACGACGAAACCUCCGUUACGACGGACGUUUAACAACGAAACGUCUUUCGACGUUAAUUCGUCGUAACACCCCGUUUACGACGAAUACUGCCUUAGUAAAAAAUAUGUUUUUUUGUAGUGAACGAUGAGUGAUCUAAGUUAAGAAAUAAAAGAGAAGCUAUAUCUGGUUCUAAUCAGGAACAAUACAUAAAAUAACAAUAGCUUCCAAAUAACACCAUAUCCAGUGAACUAGUUUCCAAAUAACCCCAUAUCCAGUGAAGACCCGGCCUUGACUCCAGAUCCCCAUUGAAGCAGUGCCGACAAGUUUCAAUGGUUUUUGCUCUUGGUUUCAAUUGCAGUUGAGUGUUUUGUUGUCACUGGACGACCUUACGACGAUGUGAAGUUAACCGUAUUUCGGGUUUUCGGAAGCGACAAGUGGCGAGGAGAUUGGUGGCUUUAGGUGGUCUACGGGCUUCAGCUUUUCCUCGGUGGCACUUCUUAAAUAAUCAUAUCAUAUCCCAGUGUCGCUGGUGGUCAUUUGAUCACUUAGGUAAUGCUGCUUCUCUAAUAUUUUUUGUAGGUAUAAAGAGCUUAUUCUAGUUUGGAUGAUACGAGUUUCUCGGGCCGUAUUGUUGGAUCUCAGGUUGAGGUGAUGGAGGUCUCAAACCGUCUCUCUUGGUAAGUUUGGAAUUUAAUGGAAGCUGCGGAUGCGCCGGUGAAGAGAAAGGGGAGAUAAUCCGGAGCCAGCAGCAACGACGAGUGUCACAUCUGAAGUUAUGGUAAGAGACUCUGCUCUGUAUGUGUAUCCUCUUUUCGUGUUGGGUCAGGAGAAGCGAAAUAACUCGUUUGUGGGUAAGAUCUCGCAUUAGAAAUAUGUAAAGGACUUGAUAUACAAGGGACUUGUGCCAUUCAUUCAAUUAGUUUUAAGUUGAAAGUCUAGAAAAUUUGUUAUGGUAUCAGAGCGGACCCAUACCUUCGUCCACUAAUCCGGCCCGGACAGUGGCCAAUCAUUCUACGAAUUGAUGGCCCAAAAAAGGUUCAAUUCCUUCAAAAUUGCUAGAAAAAUAAAAGCAUUGUUUCGAAUGGGUAUGAUAUAUCCUGCGAGAUUAAUUGUUAUACACAUCAUUAUCUCGAGAAAAUAUGUUGGAGGGAAGAUCCUACAUUAAAAAUAUGUAAGAGACUUAGGUAAUAUAUAAAUGACUUUGGUUUUAAGUUGUAAGCCUAUGAAACUUAUUAGAAUCGCGUUGAUAUCAUUUGAAUCAUUGUUGUAUUUGCAUGCUUAUGCUUUUUCAAGAAAAUUAAAAAUAUUAUAAAAUAUUUUUUAAAAAGUUUUCUUCUUAUCUUUAAAGAAUGUUAUUUUAUUUUAAAAAUUUAAAUAAUAUUUUCUACGUAUAUAGAACUGAUAGUUGUUAAUUUUAACUUAGUUAAGUUUCCACUUUUUUUUAAUCAUGUCGUCAAAUCUUUGUAAUGAAUUGUGUUUCCUUUGAAAGCAAAAACUAAAGUUGCCUGUAAUUUUUCUCUUUGUUGUUAAUCAAUUUAAAAAUUCAACAAAAAAAAAAAAUCUUUGUAAUGCAAAUUAUUUAAAACUUAUCAAGUUUGUAAACUAAAAUUGUGUAUUUUUGAAAUUAAACAAAUAUUUAGAACCUCUAAAUUUAAAAGGAUUUAACCAAGUUUGUGAUGUACUCGUAUAUCUAUAUCAAACCUGAAAAAUUUCAAACCGAAUCCGAACCAAAAUUUACAAAUAUCCUAACGAGAAUAAAUUUCAUACCUCCAAAAGAAUUGAAAUCCGAUUAAACCUAACUCGAAUCCGACUGGACAUCCAAAUGUCCAUGUAAAAACGUUGUGAAGUUCACUUUCCCAUAAGCAUAUGCAUAUAGCCAUAUUUUACUCGGAAUUUAUUAAGGCUAAACCCUCUGAGACUUCAUCAAACGACACAGUUUCACGAAGCAAUGACAUAAACAAUCAAAACGACAUCAGCUGAUUCUGUCGUAAACCUUUCUCUUCACUUCCCUCAUCAGGAAUGAUGCACUUCGUCUUCCCUGUAACUUUGUUCAAAACGUUUUUCAAAAAUUUUAGUAUAAAAUUAUUUCCUUACACUUGAACUAUAGUUCAGCCACUGUAUUCUCGGAGUAGACAUAAGGUGUUCGAUAAAAUGUCUGAGUGAGUUUUCAGAUACUCUUUCCUCCAAAGUAUCCUCUACUGACUUUGAUGUUCUCUGUUGCAGACUUACUUGCGGUGUUACUCAUCCCCAGAAAGCUAUGGAGAAUGCAAAUUUUAAGCAUUUUUUAACACUGUUAACUUAAGACAGGGUAAAAAAAAAGGAAACUUUUGCAAACCAAGUUGCUCUAGUUCAAUGGGUUUUGCUCGAGCAAGAGUAUCGAUACUCACUCUGUAUGUACCGUUGUUGCAGCUGCUUAUAGUACUCAGGUCAUUUUAUUUUUCUUUGUUGUAAUUUUAGCAUGUAAGAAGAGUCAACCACAAACUUGGUAGUUAUCACUUAUGACCGUCAUGCUACCGUCUUCAUUGCAAAGAAUUCAAAUUUGGCUCCCACUAGCGUAGACUUGGACUCUUGAUUAUUAUCUAGACUUUGACCUGUAUUAUUAAUUUACAUUGCAUCUUCAGAACCACUUGUGAGAUGAUAUCCAUUGCUAAAUUUUUCCACUUUGCAAGUUUCAUGCUCUUGAAACUAUGUGCACCAUCCUCGCUUUUUUAACAUUAUCUCUCUUGUUAGGAGAAUCAUGCUGUCAGACGGAUACUCUGCUUCAGGGGCAGUUCUUGAAAGAUGGGCAAGAGCUGGUUUCAGCUUUCAAUAUCUUCAAGCUCAAGUUCUUCAACUUCAAGAACUCCAGAAAAUUGUAUCUUGGUGUUUGGUACAACAAUUUGUAUCUGAAUGAUGUCCAGGACAGACCCGUCUGGAUAGCUAACCGUGACAAUCCGAUUCCUAGACGCCCUGGAAGCCUCAUGAUUGACUCUCUUGGCAGACUGAAGAUUUUAAGAGGAGGAGCAUCAAGCCUACUGCUUAACCUGAGUUCUACUGAAAGCACUGGAAACACUACCCUCAAGCUGUUGGAUUCCGGAAAUCUCCAGCUCACGGAGAUGGGUCCUGGUGGAUCCACGAGGGUUCUGUGGCAGAGCUUUGAUUAUCCGACUGAUACUCUUCUCCCUGGGAUGAAACUCGGUUUCAACGUCAAGACCAAGAAGAGAUGGGAGCUGAGAUCAGGGCUAAGUGAUACUUUACCAGCUUCUGGAUCUUUUGUAUUUGGGAUGGAUGCCAAUAUAUCAAACUUAUUGACCAUCUUGUGGCGUGGAAAAAGGUAUUGGGCAAGCGGCCUCUGGUUCAAAGGUCGUUUCUCCUUGGAGGCAUUCAACAACUACGAAUCGGUCUUCUCUUUUAACUCAACAGAGAGUGAACGCAACUUCAUGUUUUCAGUUGAUCGCCGCUAUCCUGAAACAGUGUUUCCCACCAUAACGAUAGACCAACAUGGUUUUUUGCGUAUAAACAGGCUUGACAGAGAGCUAGCACAUGUCCGUUGCUCUCCUUUCACUUUGACUAAAGAGGUCAGUUCCAGGGAUCGGUAUAGGCAAGAUUACAGCGGUCGGUAUGAGAAAGAGUACAGGGAUUGGUAUGAGAAAGAGAUCAGAGAUGGGUAUACGGAUCAGUAUGAGAGAGAGUACAGUGAUCAGUAUGGGGGAAAAUCCAGAGGUUGGUAUGAAAAAAAUUCCAGCGAUUGUUAUGGGAACAAAUCCAGGGAUUGUUUGCAGGCUGGAUGCACAGUUCCUGAUAUGGCACAUGGGUUCCUGAACUGCAAUCCCUUUCGCUCUACCUAUUUCAAAAAGGCAGGACCAGCUUUACUAGGCAGUGGAUCUGUGCUUAAUGAGACUGGUGGAAGACUUAGUUCAGCUGAUUGCCAUGUUAUAUGUCUGCAGAACUGUUCUUGUGUUGCCUAUGCCUCAACCAAUGUGGAUGGUACGGGCUGCGAGAUAUGGACUGAUCCCUGCAAGCUGUGGUAUACUGAUCCUACCAACAACAGGUCGUCUUCUUCUCCUACUUCCAGAAGUAUAUAUAUUCGUGAACAAGGUCCGACAUGUAUGGAAAGUGAUUCGGGAAAUAAUUAUCCGGGCUUUGGGGGAGACAGAGACAAUGGAAAUCCAGUAGUUUGGCUAAUUGUUGGAGCAUCGCUCUUUCUAACCAUACUUGUGAUUGGCUUCAUCAUCUAUAAGUAUAAAGUAAAAGGUAAAACAAAGUGUUAUCAGAAUCACAUUCUUCUCUAUGGUGUUCUUACUAACAAGUUCACUUCUUUUGUUCUGUGUGUGAUGAAUUCCAGUAACUAAUAUAUUCCGCAAAACAUUCUACUUUUUACGUGGGAAAAUCAUUCAACUAAGCAAGGCCGCUUUUUACUUUUCACGGGAGAAAAUCAUUCAACCAAGUAAGGCGGCGUUUAGCUAUCUAUGGAGGAAAAUCAUUCAACCAAGUAUGCCUCUACUGAAUAAUUUUUUUUGUAUAAGGUUAAUUGUCGUUAUGGAAAAUUAAGAAUAAUGUUUGUUAUAUUAUUAUAGUGAAUGGUUUCAUUGGGAGGAGGCUUCUAACACUGAGGUAUGGGUCAGCAGUAGAUCGCGAAUUGUUACUGCGUGAACUGGGAAUUGAUAGGAGAGGCAGGCACAGGAGAAGUGCAAGGAAGAAUAAUAAUGAACUUAAUAUUUUUAGCUUUGAGAGUGUAGCCUUGGCAACAGAUUACUUCUCUGAUGAGAACUUGCUCGGUGAAGGAGGUUUUGGUCCGGUGUAUAAGGGGAUGUUGAUAAGUGGGGAAGAAGUGGCGAUCAAGAGACUAUCAAUGGCAUCAGGGCAAGGACUGGUGGAGUUCAAGAACGAGGCCAUGCUUAUUGCAAAACUUCAACACACGAAUCUCGUUCAGUUGCUAGGAUGUUGCAUUGAGAAGGAUGAGAAAAUGUUGAUUUAUGAAUACAUGCCCAACAAGGGCCUUGAUUACUUCCUCUUUGGUGAGCUUUCUUUUUUAAAAAAUUCCAAGAAUCUAUGUUUGGAAGAAACUGAUUUCUGAAAUGCCAAAUCUAUUUUGUGCAGAUCCAUUGAGGAAAAAUGUUUUAGAUUGGAGGCUGCGGUUCAGGAUCAUGGAAGGGAUCAUUCAAGGGCUUUUGUACCUUCACAAGUACUCGAGAUUGAAAGUAAUACACAGAGACAUCAAAGCCAGUAACAUUUUGCUGGAUGAGGAUAUGAAUCCGAAGAUAUCGGAUUUUGGGAUGGCUCGGAUAUUUGGAGCCCAAGAAUCCAAAGCCAACACUAGAAGAGUUGCUGGAACAUUGUAAGUUCUCUCAAGAGUGACCAGAAGAAACAAAGAGAGGGUUCCUUUGAUCAGGUUUUGAUAAUAAUUUCUUGUGUUUGAUAUAUGUACAGUGGCUAUAUGUGUCCUGAGUACUUCAGAGAAGGACUAUUCUCGGCUAAGUCAGAUGUGUUCAGCUUCGGGGUUCUGAUGCUUGAAAUCAUUUGUGGAAGGAAGAACAAUAGCUUCCACCGUGACUCAGAAGGACCUCUCAAUCUCAUAGUUCAUGUAAAAGCCAAAUCUCUUCUUUCAUUUGUUAGCAUUUGACGUGUUUACUUAGUCUUUGGAUUGUUUAAACUCUGUUUUCAGGUGUGGAAUCUGUUUAAAGAGAACCGAGUUGGCGAGGUGAUAGAUCCUUCUUUGGGAGAUUCUGCACUUGAGAACCCUCAAGUGUUGAGAUGCUUUCAAGUUGCUCUCUUGUGUGUACAAGAAAAGCCAGAAGACAGACCAAGUAUGUUAGAUGUUGUGUCCAUGAUAUACGGCGACGGAAACAAUGCUCUUUCUUUGCCUAAAGAGCCAGCUUUCUAUGAUGGUCCCCGGAGAAGCUCGCCAGAUACAGAGGUUGGGCAACCGGAGUCGGAAAAUGCAUCAGUAAACAGAGUUUCCAUCACGGUGAUGGAAGCAAGGUGAAACUAGAGUUACCAUCAUUGGUGUUGUAAUAAUUUAUUUAAUCUCAGUUAAUGUUUGUAAGCUUAGCUUGCAUCUUUUCUAUGCACAACGGUAAAAAAUUGUAUUGAGCUUUUUGGUUUUUUAACCAAACGAAAGAUGUUCAAACUAUAAACUCUCUUCAUGGGGAGGGUUUUUGAUGACUGUCAUAUGGUUUGAAGAGAUGGAGAUUUGGAUCACGACCAAGAUUGAGCCCAAUGUUGUGUUUUGGACCAAGUUCUUGAUAUGGAACCACAACCACGCAGAGUUUCGGUUCUAUAGUGGUGAGAGAUAAAAAUGUGUGUGAAACCAAUCACAAACACAUCUUACUUCAUUUGAUAAAAUGGUUGAAGACAAAUGUUAAGAGAUGCAAUGUUAAAGAUAAAACCAGAACAAAUAACCCCUAAAUUCUAUCCACUUGAAUAGUGGUGCUAUAUUUUUAAUACUUAUUGCAAAGUUGAUCAUUUGGAAAAUUGACCCUAAAGAAAAUUGUGAUUAGGUGGUAGGUAUAAUAUAAUAAUAAUAAAAAGAUAAAUUAAACUGUCAUAUUUAACAUUUAGCCUGACAAUCAAUCAAGUAUCCAGUUAUUUACAUCAUUGCUGAAUAAUAUAUAUUCUAAUUGUUCACCUGCUGCAUGCAUGUACAUGUUAGAUGCAUUAUACAAGACAAUAGGAAGCUAACAUGCAUUAUACAAGACAAUAGGAAGAACAAAUUAGAUGACUAAGAAACAGAGUAGUUAGGCGUCUUAACGACGAGAAAGUUGACAAGCCUAACGGGUUAACAAAGUUAAAUUACAAAAUUGUGUUUGGUUAUUAUGUGAAUUGGUUACAAGUUACUUAUUGCGAUAAAUACUGAGUUACAAUAUCAGGCAUAAUGUUAUAAGUACACAUACAUGUUCAUGCAGUUUGGAGAAGAUGAUAUCGGUGAAGAUGAUGCUAUCACAGCUCAUAAAAGAAUUUGAUGGGGAAAGAUGAUCUACCAAUAAAGUCCAUCAAGUGAUUUGAUUGGAGAAGAUGAUCUACUGAGGAUAUAUUCACCGAGUAAUGGAGACACCACCAAACUUUGUUAAUUAAGAAUAUUUUUUACGUAAUAGACAUAAAGUGAAUGUCACCUACAUUAUUAUUUGAUACCAAAGAUUUUAGCAAGAUAUAAAGUUUUAUUGAUGUUGCAUUUGUCAAAACUAAUUACUUUGAUAGUAAAGAGGACCAAAUUCACCGGAAGACAUAUACUUCAUACAUAAUUUAUCAAAAAUUUCUUAGUUUAACUAAAUCUCUUGAUAGAAUAUGUUCAAUCCUAGUACAAAUUUUUUUUUUUUUAAAAACACAAGUUAAUUAAAAAAAUUGUUACAAAUAAGAAAUAAUUUAAAAUUGAAAGACAAGUAUUUUUUCAAAAUAUAGUUGGCAACCAUAGUUUUUCCAUUGUUUGAUUUAUGUGCUAUUCAAAGAUAUUAAUACCAUCAACUCUAGAUCAGAUAAAUGACCCAAAAAUUAUAGCAUCAAUUUGUAUCAAAAUUUUGUAUAUUGUUUUUCCAAAUUUAACAUUUGAUUAUUUCCACCAAAAUGAACAACAUCGAAAGAUAACAUUGAUUCUUUUUCUGAUAUCGUUAAGUGUGGAUGUUAUUGAUCCAUCAUAAUCAACAAUAUGUUUUCUGCUGUGAUGUGAACAUCUUGAGCAUGAAGAUAUAGCAUCCAUUUUAGGAUCUCAAAAAGGAAGAAGCAUGCAAAGAUUUCCUAGCAGUCGUUGUAAGGGAUCCAUAUGGCACAAACUCACAAUGUAUUAUGAAAGAGGAAGACAUCGUGAGAAGAUUUGGAAACAUUUAUGGUGUUUUGUUAGAGUGUCAGAAUUUUCCUUACGCUUGUGCAUGUUGAUAGAAACCAUUGACUUGAUAUGGUUGCAAUAAACUUUGUAUAUGAUGGACCCACAAGAUCCGAAUCCAAUCUUGCUUUUGAGGUCAUAAGCUUUGAUGUCCUAAGGAAACUGUAAAGUGUUCUUGUCUGGACUUUCACUUGCAUGUGUUAAUAAUAUUAGAAACACAGUAAAUUGUCACAUUUGGAAUGUUAACUAGCAUGAGAUACAUAUUGAUCAUUUGCAAAAAAAAUCAAAUCAAGCUUACCACCAAUAUAUUCUCAACUGCUUUCUAGAUUAUGUCUAUUUUGGCCUUUGAUAGACCAUGCACACUAGUGAGGGCUUGGUAUAGAUUCACUAUAAAGUGAUAAAACCAAUGAAUGACUAGUAAACAAGUUUGGUAUUUACAUAAUUGGUAAGCAUCAUCAAGCCACUACAUAAAUGAUCCCCAUCUUGUAGUUUCUUCACAUCUCCACCGUCUAUUAUACCUCGAGCAGUCCCCAGCACAAGGAUAUCAAAGUUAAAAGAUGCCAGAUCAAUAUGGAUCUUAUACACUGGAAUUUUCACCAACAACACCAAAUCAGCCAUUCACAAAAUUUAUGUAAACAAGGCACUAGAGGAACGAUUCACCAUAAUGAAGUUCACUGCAGUUUCAAAAUCUCAGAGGUUUGCACAGAGAUCCUAGCGAUAAUCUAUGCUGAAUAAACCAUUGGAGGUAUAGUCGACAAAGGAAAUAGAUAACAGGAAUAUAUCCAUUCCUAAACAGAAACAUGAACACUUAGACGAAAUCUGAAGAAGCGAGCAGCUAUCGAAGAUCCUAGAAGCAGCAUAAGAUCCUAGAACACUUAUUUCCAUCUUAAGCUUGUUAAUUGCUUCAAAUACGCCAUCGAUCAAAAUCACACGAUUCCAGGUUUAGAGUUUGUUGGAUAGAAAUCCCACAUCAAAAGUUUCAAUCAGACAUGAGUAAUAUAUAAAGGACAUGAACCACUGCAUUUGCCGUCGAUUAGUUUUAAGUUGGAAGCUUUGGAAAGGUAAUAUGAUAUCAGAGCGGAUCCACACCCUCAUCCAUUAAUCCGGUUUGGAAAAUGGUUCAAAUAUUUCUUUAAAGACGUUUAAGACUAUAAAACUUAUUAAAAAAAUAGAUAUAAAGCUUAUUAGACGUAUGCAUGUUAUUCAUUCGUGUGGAAAAUUGCUUAGCAAGAGAUUUUAAUUUUAGUUUACAUUGGAAAUUUACUAAUUUAAAUAGUAUAUAGAAACGUAGAAAGGAAGGAUGGAUAUGCAUCAUGAUACAUGUUACACAAUUUACAAUAUAUGACAUUACAACAUAUCGUACGUCACUCAAAUUUACAACACAUCGCACGCCACCCAAAUUUAGAGAACGCUAAGAUAAAUCAUUUAGUUACAAACCCUUAAAUCAUCACCACACCAAUUUGAUCAUAAACCCGUUAGUGCUAACACCAAAGCUGUCAUGAUUGCAAUAAACACUCUCCCUAAUAUUUCAUUUCCUGUAAAACAGACAAAGAAAAAACACGUGUGUUUUAGUUGUUUGAUUCUUGAUCAUUAGAUUGUAACUUUGUAAGUACAUACAUUACGGUGGACCAAAAUUCUGCUAUUUGGAUACUAAAGCCGAAACAUACGUUGACGUUUUUAUAUUCUUAACAAUUAGACUAAGGUGAACCGACAAUUUCAAGUCAACCUUUUUAAUUCGGUCAAUGUGGCUGGACCAUACAAUUUUUUUUAUUUUAUGCAACAAACGCUCUCCCUAAUAUUUCGUUCCUAACUUAUCAAUGGAAGUGGGGGCAUGGAAGGAUAGCAUGGGAAAGAUCUAACUCAACUCAUGGGAACGCAAAACUCAAGAAGGCGCGAGUCAGCACUGAACUAGAGACGCUAAGGUAGGUAAUGGAGAGCAUGUUUCAAUAUUCGAUCUGCCAGGGCUUUGGGACAGAUUGCAAGGACCCGAUUUCAAUGAUUAAAGAUCUACAGGUUUGGCCAAACUUCUCAACAGAGCUGGAGGUUAUUCAAAUGCUUCAGAUAUGCUUUUCGGAUUUCAAGAUCUCCUACAUUCCUAAAGCGCAAAAUGAUAUUGCUGCUUCGUUAGCUAGGACUGCUCGAUCAUUGUUUUUAUUGGUUGUUCUAUUAAGGUCUGGUUACCAGAUCACCUCAAGUUUGAGUAAUAGAAUAGUCAUUUGUUACCGAAAAAAAAACCUGAAGACUAGAACCGGUCCAUGCUUACAUUCUAUACAAUAUCACCUAACCAUAGUGAGAGGCAAGGACUAACCGGAACGUAUCACGUCAUCAGACAAUUCCAAUUGGUUUUUCAAAACUAAAAUGAUAAAAUGAUGCUAAAUGAUAUAAUCAUAUUUCGGACAAGGACAGUCUUUGUAUCAGACCAUCGAGAUUAAAUCCGCAUAAUGCAUUUAAAUUAAGAAAACUAUAUACUAACCAUUUAUAACGCGGAGACUCUGCGAAGCGGAGAUCUUAUAGUUGACAAGACAUUUAAAAUAGUAUAUCUGAGCAAAUUCCAAACUAGCUAAGCCGCAGUAGUCAUAUAAAAAUGGGCUGCAAGUCUCAAGCAUGCGGUGCAGUUUCGUGGAUCAAGAUCAGGACUACACUGGAAGAUUGCCUUUAAAUCAUACGAACUUUCCACUUGAGUCACAUGUUCUUGAUCCUCCACAAAAUAUGGAAUCGGUGAUGAGAAGGAGGCUCUGGGGAUAAGCUCGUUUAUUUUCCCACUAAGUGUUUGAUUGGAAACUUUAGGAUAACCCGAAGAACUGAACUCAGAGAAUCUACCAAAGACAGGUUCAUCUUCGACGAGUGUGAAGAAAGAAAAGUUUUAGUACCGAACCAAACAUUCGUUAUAGAAUACGAACGUUCCUUUAUAAGAGUUUCAAGUUUCAUGUUGAAUAAUGCCUUGAAUCUGUUGGACCUUAGUCUUUUGAGGCCCACUAGUGCUAGGGUUUUCCGGGACACAACUAUAUAUAUUUUGUGCCUCCUCUAAACCUAGUUAGCAGCCGUAGAGAAACUAGAUCUGAUCUUCUUGUAGACAGAUCUCUGUAAUUCUUCCAUCAAUAAAAUUUCUCUUUGCCCAUGGAUGAAGCCGUUAGGGGUGAACCACGUUAAAUCUCUGUAUCUUUCUUUAUUGUUUAUCCAUCUGUUAAUCUAUAUCUUCUCACAUCCGUCACAACAAACUGGUAUCAGAGCUUCGGGUUGAAUCUGGUGAGAAGAUGUCUGGGAUGAAUAUGAAGAUCGACAAGUUUACUGGAAGGAACAGUUUCAGUCUCUGGCAAAUCAAGAUGAAGGCAAUGCUGAAGCAACAAGGUCUUUGGGCACCAUUUUCAGGGAAGAAGGUUGAACCUGUUACAACUGAGAUGGAGGUUACUGAAGAGAAGGCGUAUUCAACAAUUUUGUUGUGUCUGGCAGAUGAGAUCAUCAUCGAAGUUUCCGGUGUUGAUGCUGCAGCUGAUUUGUGGUCGAAGUUAGAGAGUCUAUACAUGACGAAGUCUCUGACUAAGAAGCUACUUCUGAAACAACGUCUUUUCGCUCUGAGGAUGCAAGAAAGUACACAACUCCAAGAUCAUCUUGACAGUCUAAAUUCCAUCUUGUUGGAUCUGAGGAAUAUUGAUGUUAAGGUGGAAGAUGAGGAUGCGGCACUGAUUUUGUUUGUAUCACUACCAAACUCCUAUGAGAACUUUGUUCAGUCAUUCAUAGGGAGUAAGGAUAUAAUGAGUUUGGAGGAAGUCAGGUCAGCACUUCAUAGUAGGGAGUUGCGACACAAGGCAUCUGGUUCUGGUACAGACGACCACGCUUCUGGGUUGUUUGUAGGUGGUGGAAAGAACUUUGGAAAAGGCAAGAAGUCGAAAGACAAAAGGUUGUUUUCAAAGGGUCCUAAACCAACUGAUAUUUGCAAUUACUGCAAAGAGAAAGGACAUUGGAAAUCUGAUUGUCCUAAGAAGAAGAAGCAGACUGAGGCUAAAUCUGAUGAAGAUAUUGCGCUGGUUGCUCAUGGAAAAACAAAUCCUAGAGAUGUGUGGGUCCUGGACACAGGCGCAUCUUAUCAGAUUCUGUCGAAGCAAGAUCUUCUUUGUGGUCAUAAGACCAAGAGCCUUGAGUUCUGUGAGCACUGUGUGUUUGGGAAGCUGCACAGAAAGAAGUUUCCUAAGGUUGUUCAUAAAACAAAAGGCACGCUGGAUUACAUCCAUUCAGAUUGUUGGGGUCCCUCCAAGGUGGAGUCGCUGAAGGGUCACAGGUAUUUUGUGUCCAUGAUUGAUGACUAUUCGAGGAAGACUUGGAUAACAUUCAUGAAGCACAAAAGUGAAGCUUUCAACAGCUUCAAGGAGUGGAAGAUACUGGUGGAGAAUCAAACUAAGAAGAAGAUUAAGAGGCUUCGUACUGAUAAUGGUCUGGAAUUCUGUUCAACAGACUUCAAUUAGUUUUGUAAGGAUGCAGGGAUUGCUAGGCAUCAUACAAUCAGGUAUACACCAUAGCAGAAUGGUGUAGCAGAGAGAAUGAACCAGACAUUACUGGAGAGAGCGAGGUGCAUGCUUUCUAAUGCUGGUUUAGAGAAGAGGUUUUGGGUUGAGGCAGUGAACACGACUUGUUAUUUGAUCAAUCUUGGACCGCAUACAGGGAUCGAGUGUCGAAUACCUAAUGAGUUGCACGGUUUACUAUCAUGUUAAUGAAGGAAAGCUGGAACCAAGAGCGAAGAAGGGAGUGUUUAUGGGCUAUGGAGAUGGUGUAAAGGGAUACAGAGUUUGGUCUCCAUCUGAGAAACAGGUUGUUAUGAGCAGGAACGUUGUGUUUGAUGAGAGUUCUAUGUUCAAAGUUUCAGCUGAGUCCAUUUCAGAAGCAGAACAGGAGGAUGUUGACAAGCAGGUGGAGCUGCAGGAAGUGCAGUCAGACUACCCAGGAUCAACCGAUCCAGUGUCAGGGAGCGAUCGAUCUACGCCAGACACAGGAUUGGGCGAUGGCAGAGAUCUUCGAUCGAUGUCCGACAACACGAGAUCGAUCGAUCCUCAGGAAGAGAGCGAGCGAUCAAUGUCUGAUAAGUAGCCUCAAUCUUCCAAUUCUGGAAAUCAACGUAUUGGGUCUGAAAAACGCAGUAUUGCUAAAGACAGACCAAGGAGAGUUGAUGUUAGGCCACCAGAGAGAUAUCGGUUUGAAGAUAUGGUGGAUUAUGCACUACAGGUUGCAGAGGAAGUGGACACUUACGAGCCGUCUACUUACAGAGAAGCCAUUUCAAGUUAUGCAUCUGAGAAAUGGUUUGCUUCAAUGGGAGAUGAGAUGGUAUCUCAUGAAAAGAAUCACACAUGGGAUCUGGUCACACUACCACCUGGGAGAAAAGUUGUGAUUUGCAAGUGGAUUUAUAAGCUAAAAAAAGGUCAGUCACCAGAAGAGGGAGUCAAGUAUAAAUCUCGAGUUGUUGCUACAGGUUUCAGUCAAAGAGAAGGCGUGGACUACAAUGAGAUAUUCUCACCCGUGGUCAGACACACCUCUAUCAGAGUGCUAUUGGCGAUAGUAGCACGUCAGGAUCUGGAGUUGGAGCAACUUGAUGUGAAGACUGCUUUUCUUCAUGGAGAGCUUGAGGAGGAGAUCUAUAUGACUCAGCCUGAGGGUUUUCUAUUUCCUGGUAAAGAAGAUCAUGUGUGCAAGUUGAGGAAGUCGCUGUAUGGACUUAAGCAGUCUCCUAGACAGUGGUACAAGAGGUUUGACAGCUAUAUGGUCAAGUUGGGCUACGACAGGAGUCCUUAUAACUGUUGUGUCUACAUGAGCAAGGUGGAGGAUGAGUCGUAUAUCUACCUGGUGCUGUAUGUAGACGACAUGCUGAUAGCUGCCAAGAAGAAGUGUUAUGUUCAGAAGCUGAAAGAACUACUGAGUCCUGAGUUUGAGAUGAAAGAUUUGGGUGCUGCGAGGAAGAUUCUAGGAAUGGAGAUCUUCAGGGAUAGGACGAAGAAGAAGCUGUUCUUGUCACAAAAGGCCUACAUUAAAAAGGUCUUGAUAAGAUUCGGGAUGCUUAAUGUUAAGCCUAUCGAUACUCCAUGUGCUGCAAAUUUUCAUCCUACCAUGAGUGAUGAAAUGUCUGAAGGGGAAAUCGAUUAUAUGUCACGUGUUCCUUAUGCUAGUGCUGUAGGAAGUUUGAUGUAUGCUAUGGUUUGUAUAAGACCAGAUCUUGCACACGCAGUCAGUGUUGUGAGUAGGUUCAUGGUUCAGCCGCGAAAGGAGCACUGGAUCGCUGUGAAGAGGAUUUUCCGGUACCUUAAGGGUACAUCUGAUAUUGGUCUUGUCUAUGGAGACAAGGAUCCGAGACUGGUUACUGGGUAUUCUGAUUCGGAUUAUGCAGGAGAUGUGGACAGCAAGAGAUCUAUGACUGGUUACGUAUUUACUUUGGGUGGUUCUGUUGUGAGCUGGAAGGCGACUUUGCAGUCGACAGUGACUUUGUCUACAACUGAGGCAGAGUAUAUGGCAUUGACAGAAGCUGCUAAGGAGGCAAUAUGGUUGAGAGGAUUGGUCAGUGAUCUUGGUCUUCAUCAUGAUCAGGCUACUGUGUUCUGUGAUAGCUUAAAUGCUAUCUGCUUAGCCAAGGAUCAGGUUCAUCAUGAGAGAACCAAGCAUAUCGAUGUAAGAUACCAUUUUCUGAGAGAUGAGAAGAGGAUUGAAGUGAAGAAGGUAGGAACAGCUGAUAAUCCUGCGGAUAUGUUCACUAAGCCGGUUCCUCAUAGCAAGUUCAAGCAUUGUCUUGAUUUGCUAAACAUCUCAAGCUGUUAAAUCUGGCCCUGAUGGGCGUUUGGCCCUGAGGGGCAUCUGGCUCGAAGAGAGCAUCUGGCCCAAGUGAGGGCAUCUGGCUCUGAUGAGCAUCUGGUCCGACGGGAUAUCUGACAUCUGAGUUCGACGGAACAUCUGAGCAAAGAGAGAGUCCGGUACAUCUGUAUUCUGAGUACGAAGAAGUGCAUUCUGGUACAUCUGAUUAUGCAUGAUUCAAGUCAAGGUGGAGAUUUGUUGAAUAAUGCCUUGAAUCUGUUGGGCUUUAGUCUUUUGAGGCCCACUAGUGCUAGGGUUUUCCGGGACACAACUAUAUAUAUUUUGUGUCUCCUCUAAACCUAGUUAGCAGCCGUAGAGAAACUAGAUCUGAUCUUCUUGUAGACAGAUCUCUAUAAUUCCUCCAUCAAUAAAAUCUCUCUUUGCCCGUGGACGAAGCCGUUAGAGGUGAACCACGUUAAAUCGCUGUGUCUUUCUUUAUUGUUUAUCCAUCUGUUAAUCUAUAUCUUCUCACAUCCAUCACAACAUUUCAGACAUGCUUAACGUUGCCGAAUGGACACAGUUUAAACAGGAUGCUCUACUGAUGUCUCCUCAGAGGAACAUGCCAUAGACUGUGUUUGGGCUAAGACCGGCCGUAGCGUUAGCAUAGCUUCCGUGGGCGGAACGGUCGCGAAGGGUGGAGAGGACAGUUUCUAUGUUUGAUUGAUAAGAGCUAGAUUUAUUGAAAUUGUCGGGUACCUGGUCGCAACCAGAGCUCAUUUGUGCAGAUUGGGAUAUGGUUUGAAGAGAGAAUAAGAAGAAGCAAAACAGGACAAUAGCAAAAUGUGUAAUGAUUCUUGUCAUUUUUCUUGAUUAAUUUGACUUACGAGAAAGAACAAAACAGAACACCAAGAGUUAUAAAAGCAAAGAACAAAACAGCACAUAUAGAUGUUUUUUAACAAUUCAAUCAUAUCAGUAAUGUCCACAUAAACAUGGUAGACCAACUCAAAAGGAAAAUCAAUAUAGUAAUUAUGAUUUUAGUUGAAUUCCAUAUUCUUGUAUAAUAUAAUGUUUAGUUAACUUUGCAGGUAACAAGUUCUUCAACGUUGACCUUUAUUUUGUGAAAGAUCUGAAGCAUAACAUAUUACUUGUAUAGUGUGGUAUACCAAUUCAGAGGGAGAAUGAAUAUGACUUUCUAUUAAUAUUAAUCAGUUGAGUAGGUCUUAUUUGCUGUUGUUAAUGUAAAUCAGAUUAAGCCAAAGGAAAUAGAUAACGAUGACGUAUUGAAAAAUGAAAGCACAAGACAAAGAGAGGGAGGAUGCUAUAUCACCCAACAAAAGGGUACGACAUCAGAUAAUGUAGGGUGGACACAAUCAUAUCUCCGUCCAAAUUUCCAUCCUAAUACCGGUCUAAAUCUAGAAGGCCAUAACUGUUUUGGAAUAAAUUUUAAUAAUUUAUAUAUAUCAGAAAUUAUAUAAUUUAUGUAUAUUAUUUUUUAAAAUUUGGUAAUCAAAACAAUAAAAGAUAAACAAAAGGUAGAAAAGUAGAAAAAAAAAUACUUGAUAAAAUCCAGUAAUCAAAAAAAUAGUUAGGAGAUAAUUAUGAACUAUAAAAAUAAUUAGCGCAUAGACGGACAUUUAGAUACCGUAUAUAUUAUCGUCUCCAUAUAGCAAUUUUAGUUUGGUAUAACCAAAUCCAAACCAUAUUCCUUAUUUCAGUUAGGUUUUAGUCGCUUUGGUUUUACCGAAUUAAACAUCUUUGAUACCCCGUAUAAACUGGCCAGUUUUUAUAAAAAAAAAUCGUUUUAAAAACAUUUCACUGAUUUGCUGUCUAGGCGAAACGUGGGGAGGGGAAGAGAAAACUGCUUCUUUAUCUUUAUGUAUGAAACCAGGAAAAAUACAUAUCCAAACAAUAUUAACGUGUCAAAACAUUUUUAAACUAAAUAAAAAUUUGAAUUGCAUACCUAAACUAAUAAUAAAUAGCUAAAACAUACCUAUAACCGGUUAUAUAAUGAUUUGGACUAUUUUUUAAUUAUUUUUGUAGUUUAGUCCCUAUAAUUCUAUUUUUUGUUAAUAUGCCUUAAAUAACUUAAAUAAUCAAAUUUAUCGUAUUUAUAAUUUUAAUUUGAAAAGUACAAUUUUAUUUUUUUUCCAGAUUUUAAUUAAAUUUAAAUAAAAAAAUUAAUUAUUUAUCAGAAAUUUAGAUAGUUAUCAUAUACAAUAUAUUAAUUAAUUUAGUUAUCAAAGUAUGUUAUCUACCUUAUUAAAACAUGAAAAUUAAUUAUAAAUAAUCUUACUCGUAUGUAAUAUUUACAAGAAAUACCACCAAAUUUAUAUUUAUAUAAAAUUUUCUUUACAAAUAUAGUCAUUCAAAUUUUAAUCAACAUAACUAAAAAUACUCUUUAGAAAUUUGAUUUUACAGUAGAGAUCUUUAAUAAUAUUACCCUUACUUAAUAAAAAGAAAAGAAUGGCUAUUUAACCAAAAAUAGUUUCGAACGCAGCAUCUCAAGAAAACAAAUAUCGCACAAAACCACUAGACCAUAUUACAUUAUUUUUAUUUUGCUACAAAACUAGUAUGUAAUAUUAAUAAUACACAAAAAGUUUACAAAACUAUUUCCCGAUUAAUUCUCGUAUAAUUACCAAAUAAUUGAUUCGGCGCUAGGUUAGGGUCAAGCGCACACAUUAUGCCUAGUGUAAUUAAUAUUGGUUUUGAUAACUACAAACAAAAAUUACAUAUUUUUAAUUUUAUUUAUAUUAUAUAUAUCACGCAAGCACAUAAUAAGAUUUGCAACUAAAAUAACCUAAGAAAAUAUAAAAAAUAUUUUAUAAACUUUAAGAACUAGUGAGAUUAAAUUAGGCUUUAAAUUAUGAUAUUGUUUUUAUGUUGUUUUCUAUUUAUUUAAAUUUUUUGUAUCAAAUAUUUCAAUAUGAAAUAAUAAUAAUAUAUUUACAUUAUUAAAUCUAUUUUAUUUGAUAAAAAAUAUUUCCAAUUUAUAUAUCACCAUAUAUUAAAAUUUAUUUCCAAUUUUGAAAUUAUAAAUAAGGCCAAUUUGAUGAUUUUAAUUAUUUGUGGUACUUUACAAACAAAUAAAAUGACAAAAAUUAAAAGAUAAUAAUUUAAAAAAAUAAAUCAAUACAUUUUAAAAUGGACUGACAUGUGUCAGUUACGAGACAUGUUUUAUCUAUUUAUUAUGAGUUUAGGUAUGCAAUUCAAAUUAUUAUUUAGUUUGUGAAUGUUUUGGCACGUUAAUAUUGUUUGGGUAUGUAUUUUCUCUGGCUUUAUAGUGCGGAUAUGAAUAAGCCGUUUUCCCGCGAAAGGUGUGUAGACCGCUAUUUAGAAUGUAAAACCCGACCCAGUCAAAAGAACCAGGUGUUAACUAAACCAAAUAAGGAACAAAAUCGGCGCAUCUUUAUUACAUUAAAAGGGAGACUGGCUGGCUACAAUGUGCCUCUGUCAGAAAACGAUACCGUUUUCUCACCCAGUCACCCCUCGCAAGCAAAUCAAAGCAAAAGCAAAGUUCCCAUAUUUAUCCUCAACAAAUGACUAAAUAAAGAAAGAUGCAAACUCUAGGCAGUCUUUUUAUUCAUGCUUUCUUCUUUCACAAGAAAGAGUUUAAAAAAGAAGAAAAUGAUUUGAUGAUUGGAUGUGAGAAGAGCUAUUCAAAGUGAGAGCCACUGUAGUGUAGAACCAUGACAAAUUCAGCACCAGAGUUCCCAACCAUGGCGCUUUUUCUCUCAGAAACUGGAGUAGACUGGACCCACCAAUCCACCAAGUUAUGCAGCUUCUGCGUCGAACACACAGGCUCUUGCCUUAGCCAUAUCUCCACCUGCAACGUCCAACCAAGAUCAAGAUCUGACCUUUUAAGAACCAGAGAGAGACAUAGAAGAAUGAAUUACUUGGUCUUCGCUUUGGAGACCAAGCUUAUACGCUAGAUACUUCUUGACAUAUGAGACAGGUAAGUUUCCAUCUCUGUGAAAAUGCAAAAAAGAAUCACUAUCACACAUUGUGAAUGAAGUUAAUUGUUAAGGAAAGAUCUAGUGAUCACUUACGUUCGUAUGUAUGGAUUGGAGAUUUGUGGCAGUAGUGGCCUCUCUGUCUUCCUGUAAACGCACUCACUUUAUAUAAUCAGAACCAAAAGCUUAAAGGACAAAUGCAAAGAAGAUAGUAGUAAUAAAGUCUUUACUGAUUCGCUGCAGCUAUUAGUGAAAGCCAAACUUUCUUGUUACUUCCUUCAGCUUUUUUUUCUGCUUCUUUAGAAAUGGCUGCUUCUGAUGCACCAUCUGAACUCAUAUUCCCCUGCUUUCGAGGUCUCAAAACCCGAGGAGAAGAAGCUUUUCCUUUCCCCUUCUUACCAGAGAUCUUCCCAGUAGAGCCAUUUUCUUGCUUUUCUUGACCAUUGUUCUUCUGCUUCUCACCAGAGCUUAACAGGACAUUGUUUAUAUUUGCUUGAACAGGGACUUCCUCUGUAUUGCCACCAGAACUAGAUCCAUGGCCUUGAUCUUCUUUGCCAUUUGUAGUUAUCACAGUCUCAACAUUCAGUGCGGUACCGUUACUCUCCUUACCAUUACUCAAGGACUUGCCAAGAUCAUCAGAUGAAGCUGGAACCUUUUGUAUACAUCCAUUAGAUGUCAAUGCUCCAGCCUAUGAUGAUUCAUCACUUCAUCUCAAUAACAAAUAUUAAAGAAACUAAAACGAAUGAUAAUGUAAUAAGUUAUUACUAACCAAAUCAUUGUCUUGUUCAAUGUUGAGAACAAUUUCAAAACCAUUCUCGCUUUCCACAUGAAGCUGUUCCGGUUCCAGUGGGUUCUCAUUCCUUUUAGGCGCCAGGUUUUUCCUUACACGCCUCCUAAAAUUCGAAACUAGUGCGCUCGAGCUUUGGUUCAGAGAAACAGCUUCCAUUUCCUCCUCAAGCUUCUCACUUUCCAAUGGAGCUGGCUCAGGUGAGGUUGAUGCUCUAGGUGAAGUAGCCGUCUUCUUCUUUCUGGAGUAUGUCAAAGAUGCUGAAGCAGUUUCAAUGGCUGCUGCUGCCUUUACGCUUUUUGGCUUUUGUUUGAAGACCUUUAGCCUCAACUCAUCCCACAUGUUAUCCGACCUGCAUUUUCAUAUAUACUUCAGUUUUAUUUGAUAUUUCAUAAACAUCAAGAGGAACAUUGUAUUUGAUAACCUGAGUUUAUCAAGAGGAGCAACACCAAGAUCAACAUUGCAGACAGGACAAGCUUUCAGAUUCUCUACUACCAACUUUUCUUCUAUGCAUCUUUUGCAAACUGUGUUCCCCAAAUACAAGUAGAAGAACAGGAUUUUAAUGUCUUUAUUACCAGAAAGAUGAUAACUUUUCUCAAUUUCAGAGAUUUUUUCAAGCAAACACACAACUAUCUACGCAGAUGAAAUAGAUACUAACAUAACAACAAAGAGAACGUAAGAGGCACUGAUUCGAUUAAAAAACAAAGGCUCACAUGUGUGGAGGCACUCGGAGAUGGUGGUGGCACGGUCGUAGAGAUUGUUACAGAUAGGACAAGAGAAGCAUGCCUUCAUGUCCUGCCUCUUCGCCUUCAAAACAGUCAUCUUCUUCUCCAUUACCAUAUGAAUCUCGGAUACAAAAGAUUCGUUUUUUUCUUUUCUUUUCUUUAUGGGUUCACGUAAAGCAGCAUGGUGCAUGUACUACGACGAAGAAACCAAACGGCCAGACGAUAAAGUUUGAAGCUUUAUCGUUGAUUUCGCAGAAACAGAGACGCGAAAGUUUGAAACUUUUCGUUCUCCUCUCGCUCGUUCGCUCCGGGGAAAACGAAAUCUCUGUAAUAAGUGAGGGUUUUGAUUGUUGGAGGUUAAUUUGCUUAAUAUGUAAUUUUUUUACGAGAGGGGUUGGAUUUGAAACUUUUACAAAAUUAGAGAGCUCAAAGUGAAAAAGAUUGAUUUGGAGGGCCAAAAAGAAAAAGGAAAAACAUUUAAUUCUUAAUCGGGAUGGGAAACUUGUGUAACGCAUGUUUUAUUCAACAGUAAAUAAAACAGAAAAUUACUUUGUAUAUUUUUAGGGAAUUAAAAAUAUCUCUUCUAUAUUAUUUAAAAAAAUUGAAAUAAAUUACUCACAAAUUUUUAAAAAAGUUAUAUGUAUUCACAAAAAUUGUUUGUUAGUAAUCAAAAAUAUUUUUCUUUUUUUUUUGGAGAAAAAGUGUUAUUUUAAAUUGGCGUACACAUAACCAAUAUUAAUUUCAACAUAAUAAUUUAAAUAAUAUAUUAAAGUAGAGGUUGUUCAGCGCUUGGCGCAUAAAAAUUAUUUUUUUGUUAUUAUUUUAUUUUUGUUUUAAAAGUCUAGUCAUAUAUUUAUGUAUGAAUUAUUAUUUCGGUGACUGUUCUUUUCUAUUAAAUUCAAACCUGGUUUCGAUUAACUAUUUUUAUUUUCGUAUGACUAAACAUGAGAAAAAUAUUUUUAUUUUUAAUUAUGUUUUUCGUAUGACUAAAAUUAUUUGGCUUUUCUAUGAAUUAUAAUUCCAUCAGCUAUACUAUUUUAAUUUUGUAUGACUAAACAUGAGAAAAAUAUCAUAGUUUGUUUUUCCCCUUUGGCUCUAAUGAUUUAUUUAAUUCUUAUAUAUUUUAGAUUUUAUUAUUAUUGUUUUAUAAAGUAUAUUUUCAGAUUGAUCUUAAUUUUUUAUUAGAAUGAAAAUAAAGUAUUAACUCAUCUUAUGUUUUAUUAAAUAUUGUAUUAAUAAAUUUGGGUAAAAGAAUAAAAUUAUAUAAAAUAUGGUUUAGUUAAUUGAUACACUAAAACUGAACUCUUCCUACUAUCAAGUUAACAGUGAUAAUUGUAGUAAUUGAGAUUCAAUCCAGAGGACCAGUCUACACUUUAUUCUUAUGCGUUUUCAACUUAGCUAAAACUAAAAUGGGUUUUGAAUUAAGUAGUGACUUGCAAGUAGAGUAAAAGAUUUUAAAAGGUUUAGAUUCGAUAUUGAGAAUAAGCUGAUCUAGGGUUUCUCAUCGGGUGUUAAAACUUAGCCAAACAUUUAUUCAAGCUCGUUAAGACACGAUCUAGAACACGGAUCACUCUUAGUAGAACAGUCCACUGUCGUAGUGCUGUUCCCUUUGCGGUCCGACCUUGACGCCUAAACUGUCGUUUGGAUCAAGGAUCGGUCGCAAGCUAUAGAGAUCAAGUCCGAUAAGUUCACUGAACACUCUAGCAUCUACUUUCGCUGGCUAGAGAUGUUCAGCUCAUUCAUUCGAUAUCAGGUAGACUACUACACGGUUAGUGGGUGAUCGGACCUAAGAUCUAGCAAUAAGUGAUCAGGUUAGAACUAGCAUUAAGAACUAGAAUGAACGAAGAAACGAUAAGUGCUUAUUUAUGUGUAACCUUGCGUUUAACACCCUAGAACCCUAGACAAGCUAGACGACUACUCAGCCAUAACACAAGAUGAACAGGACAUAAUAACUGAAUAAUACUGCAUGUAAAUCAAAGGUAAAACAAUAGGGUUCAAGAUGAUCUUCUCUGUCCAGAAGAGGAGCCGUCUCCCUUACAAUAGCAAUAUCCAAGAAUAGGUCUAGGUCUUUUUGCCAAAAACUAGCGUAAAGAAAUAAGAUAGAUAGGGGUCGCUUUUAUAUGGAAGCGCCCAUAGACUUCAGAGUGGAGAAUCGGCAACCAGGGAAAAUUUUUGGAAGAUAUGGAAAUUUCCAUAAUUAUCGAGAACAAUCGUCUGGCUGUUCCUGGUAGGAUCGACCGUAAGACUGCUCCGCGGAUUAUUCUUCAGGGGAAAUCUCCAAUCCUUGCUCUUUUCUUCAUGCAUAUUCCUUAAGCUCUUCAAUCUUCUCCAGACCUGAAAUGACUCAAAAAAGACUAGACUAACUCGAUAAAACAACGAAAACAAGUUAGAAAUCAUAUACACAAUGAUGUCAAAAACACCAUAUAUCAUUAAUAAUUUCAUAAAUAAUAAUGAAGGAAUCAAACAACUUUUUUAAAAAAAUUUACAUGUUUAUUCAAAAAAAGUUCUAUGUUUUUACUGAAGUUAUAUAAUAGAGUUAUUUUUUUAUGUAUUAUUUUUUCUUAUUAAUUUCUUAAAGAGUUUUUCAAUGAAUCAGUUACGUGAAUUCUGAAUCCUGAGAUGGUGCAAAUGCCAAAGACGAUGAAUUUAGUUUUUUUCUUUUUCUCUAUUUUUGUUCAUACCACCGAUAAUUAUUGAUAACUCACAAAUUUUCAAUUUAAUUUUUUGAUUCUUGGAACUAGUAUUUGUAUCUAUCUUUACUUUAAAAAAACUUUUUAUUGAAACUUCGGGAAGUACUUUAGAAACAUCCCUACUUGCAAGAGUGCCAGACGUAGCCUUGUGCCUGGCCAUUGGUGGUGCUUCCGCAUUCUUCCAAAGGACCUCUUAUCGAGUCCAAAUACAUGUCUUAUUUUUUAGUAAUCCAUAUUUAUAGCAAUAAAAUACGAUUGUUCCUUCACCAAGUAAUAAGAUAAAUUAGUAAUUAAAAAUAUCUAUUCGUAAAGGCAAGCAAGAGCCUAGACGAUUUCCACACAUCGAAGAAAGAAAGUGAAUCGUUUGUCUGAUUACAAUGGGACCUAAGAUAGCCCUAACUCGUCUUUUGGCUAGAGAAAGUUUAGAAUCAAUAUCCAUCUAUCUGCUCCUAUGCUGCUUCUCCUUCCGCUGGAUGAGUGAGCUGAAGGGAUAUCUAGAUGAUCCGAUCGAUUGCGUAAAUCGAAGUGGUGCCCUCCUCUAAGAAAGAAGGUUUCAGUCUCAUUCAACCAACUCUCUUUUUGAAGCAGAUAGUUCACGAGAUAAUUGAGUAAGUUAAGAUAGAUGUCACAAUUUGAACCAAAGGCCUUUUUAGUGCAGAAAAUUCUAGCGUAGAUUUACUAAAAUUAGGCAAAGCAGGAUUCCUUUUUUUUUUAUUUCAGAUCCUUUUUGUAUAAAAACCCAUUGGAUGGGUCUUUUGAACUUUAACAAAAAAAGGCCUCUAGAUCUUCUUCUGGAAUCAUAUAACUGUCAAAAGUGAGUGACUGCUCAUCGGAACUGUUAUAGUCAUGGAACUGCUAUGUAGGCUUUUGUUUACCGGGGGUUCGAAUCCCUCUCUUUCCGUACCUUUACCUAAUUCAUCAACGUUACCGACCUGUUAACUUUUUAAACAACUUAUUUUGAUGAGGUGUCAUCGUGAGAAAAGAGUGUUUAACUUUAAUAAUAUUAUUUUUAUUAAAUUAUUACUUUUUGACUAAAAUUUUCAUCAAAUUUUACUUAUAUCAUGUAUUUCACUAAGAUUGUAUUGUUUUAUUUGUUAUAGUUUAUUAUUUUUUUCAAACUGAUUUUCAUUUAAAUCUUUAUUUUUAUUAAGUAUUAAUUUUUGACUUUUAUCAUUUUUAAAAAACUUCUAAGCUUGAGUUUGGUGAAAAAUAAAAAAUAAAAAAUGUGAGUUCACUCUUUUUAACUUUGAUUGGUUUUAGGUUUAAUGAAACGUGAAAAAGAUAUCGUAAAUUGAAUUUGCUUUUUUUCUUAUUAACUUCCCUGUUUAAUUUUUAACUUUAUGUAUUUGGAAUAUCUUAUAUAUUUUUCAUUAGAUUAUUAUUUUUAACUAAAUAUUUCACAAAGUUCAUUAUAUUGUAAAUUUCAACUAAAUAUUUACGGUUGUAUUUGUUAGUUUUUCUGUUUUGUUAUAAAAAUAUGUUUUAAUUAUGUAUUAACCAUUGAUUAUGGUUUUCCAUUUUUUUUUAAUGAUUUCUCUCAGUUUAAAAUCGGUACCACAAAAAGGAAAAUUUUCCUAAGGUUAACUCUUUUUAUUUUUGUUAGUUUGAGUUUGAUGGAACAUUAAAACGUUAGCGUAAAUGGAUUUCUCUCUUUCUUGUUCGUAUAAAAAUAUUUAUUCUUAAAUUUAUGUAUUACAUAUUAAAUAAUUUAUAAAAUUAAUAUAUGUUGAUAAAUUAUUGAUGAUAAAAAUUUGGUUGAAUUUAAAAUAAAUUACGAAUUAUAAAUAUUGAUAGGUUAUUAAAUGCUUUUAAUAUAUUUGUUUAAAUAUUAUAAAGAUGAAAAACAUGAGAUAAUUUAUUAAUGUUUAAAACUUAUGAUGAUGUGUCAAUUUUUGGUGCACUUCUUGAUGAAAUAAAAACUUGAUCAUAAGAGAGAAACCUCUAAGUUGUAUAUAUAGAUGUAUUGUUGUAUCAUACAUUUUAGAAAUUAUACUAACUGUGUAAGAUUAUAUUGUAUACAUUAUUUUAUAGUUAUCAAGAAUAUCUAUAAAAUUCAAUAUAUGUAUCACUAAAACUGUUUGAUAAAAAAUAGAAAACAUAUGUGUUUAAUUUUUAGCUGAAACUAUAAUUCUACUCUGUUUUUUUUUUGAAAAACAUGCAUGUAUAUUAUCUUAUGUCGUACCUACUAGCUAGUAAGGAAAGGGGAAAGGGACAACACCAAUUUCAACAAUUUUCGUCAUGGUUUUUUUCUACUCAACUUUUAUACAGUGCUGAUUCAUAAACUAGCAUUUAUUUCAAAAAAAAAUAAAAUUUCAUCAACUUAAAUAGACUUAUAUAGACUCUGCAAAUCAAACUGGUAACUCCGGAUGAGAAACGACGGUUGGUUCCUGCACUGCGUGCGAAACUAUCCGCUCUUGAAUUAUGUGUCCGUGGUAUAUGAAUGAGUUCUGAACUAUUGAAAUUUUUCUUCAAGAUCUUUAUGUCUUCCAAAUAACUUGCAAAAACUCUCCAAAUGAAAAAUAGACACUAUGUAACUUUAUUGCAUUGGAAAAAACUAUGUUACGGACCCCCCCUUUUUAGGUAAUUAUUUCGGAGAAAGGAUUAAUAUUUGUUCUAUUCUGUUAGUAAUAAUGGAACAAUUCGAUUCAUAGGAAAAAAGGGAAGCGGAUCUAUUCUAUAUCCGAUAAGUACCAAUACGCAAUGGGGGUGAAUCCUAUGUUAUAUGAACCAAGAUAGCUAUUGUUGUUCAGAAGCCCGUUCGUAAAAAGUUUCCUUUAAUUUUUAUUCAUUCUCUCUUACUUUACUUUUAUUUUAUAUUUUAUUUUAGCUUAUUCAACUUCUGUAUUAAAUAUGAUUAAUUUAAAUAUGAUUAAUAUUAAUAAAGUAGGAAAAAAGGAUAAUAUGAUAAAAAAAAAUGAAACCCCAGUCUUACGUUUCCACAUCAAAGUGAAAUAGAGAACUUCAUUCUCUUUUUUUUUCAUUUCAUGCCUAUUGGCGUUCCAAAAGUACCUUUUCGAAGUCCUGGAGAAGGAGAUACAUCUUGGGUUGACAUAUAGUGCGACUUGUCAGAUAUAUUGGGCUAUAUGGGAUUUCCCCAUUUUCUCCCUCGAUCGAGAUAUCCUCUGUUUCGCUCAAAAAGAUUGAUUGAAUUAUCAAAAAUUUGUAACGCGAAGCGCAAAAAAUAAAUUAGAAUUAAAUGCAGGGAGUAUUUAGAUUGAUAUUAGAUUAUCAAAAAUUUUUUAUGGUUUACGUGAUCGGACUAAUAAAAUUAAGUAUCCAGGCUCCGUUUAGCAAAAAUCCAAUUGAUAAUUAAUAUAUAAUAUUUUUAUAAUUACUACUUAAUAUGAUAUGAAUAUGAUAUCAAAAUUAUGAUAAAAAUUCUAUUAAAAAAUAAAAAAAAUACAAAAAAUUGAAACAGGGUGAUCUAAAACUGUUGAUCAAAUAAAAUAAUAUAAUUAAAAAUUUAUUGACUAUUUGACAGAAGACAUGUGAAAGAAAUGAAUUGAAAAAAAAAGAAGGAGUAGUAAAAAAAAAAAAGACGCGGUAUUUGGUUCAUUUGUCCUAUAUGUGCAAAUCAAAAUCGGGCAAAUUUUUCCUUUUACUCGGAGUAGAGCAUAAACCUAAAAAAACGGAAUAAAAAAAGGAAGAAGCCCAUUCAGGAACAAGAAAAAACCAUCCCCAUUUCAACUGAAUCUCGAUGAAAAAAAAAUAUCAAUGAAUCAAGUUAGUCUGACAGGCCUAAUCAAUCGUUUUAUUAUUUUAUUAUUAGGAUUAUAAUAUCUAAUAAAUAAAAGGGGCCAAAACUUAUUUAUUUUUUCUUUUACUUUUAAAAGGGAAGCAAGCCCUUCCCUUAUUAAGUUAGAAAGAAAAGCCUUCUCUGAAAAAAAAAAGGGGGUUGGAAUCGACACAUUGAUUUUUUAACAAUUUUUGUUGAACCGUAUGCAUCAAAAGGUGCCUGUACGGCUCCUAAGGAAUAAAAUUUUAUCCUAAUCAACCGACUUUAUCGAGAAAGAUUGUUUUUUUUAGGCCAAGAGGUUGAUACCGAAAUUUCGAAUCAACUUAUUAGUCUUAUGAUAUAUCUCAGUAUAGAAAAGGAUACCAAAGAUCUUUAUUUGUUUAUAAACUCUCCUGGUGGAUGGGUAAUAUCUGGAAUGGCUAUUUAUGAUACUAUGCAAUUUGUGCGACCCGAUGUACAGACAAUAUGCAUGGGAUUGGCCGCUUCAAUAGCAUCCUUUAUCCUAGUCGGAGGAGAAAUUACCAAACGUAUAGCAUUCCCUCACGCUUGGCGCCAAUGAGUUUUUUUAUUUUAGAGAAAAAAUACUAUGCCUUCGCCCUCGGAAAUAUGAAUUAGUUAAGUAAUAAUAGCAUGGCACUUCGAAUUCGAUAUGAAAUUUUUUAGAUUCAAAAAAUUAGAUUAUAUAUUGAAAGAGUAGUAUGGGAUAAGAAAGGGGUAUUUAAAAUGAUAUCUUCCCUAUUCGGGCACAUCCCAGCGUCACAAACUUUGUUUUCACACCGGAAGCUUAUUUACAAAAACAAAAAAAAAGACACUUUGGGAUUGCUGAAUCAUAGACGGAUCAAAAAAAAUGAUAUAUAAAGCAACGGAACCAUCAUAGUAUUUUUUUAACUCCUACAAAACAAAAAAGAAGGAUGGUAAUUGGAUCAUUUAUGGAUCCGCGUAUAAUAGAACCUAUAUUUUGUUUUCUUUCGCCGAAAGGAAAGGUCAAAAACGUAAAUUCCAUUCUAGAGCCGUAUGCAACGCACAAAAAAAGCCUGUACGGUUAUUCAAAUUUCUCUGUUUUUUUGGUUAUCUCGCCUCAUUCUGCGAAAUAGAAAAAGCUUUUCUAUUAUAUCAUCAGGGUAAUGAUCCAUCAACCCGCUAGUUCGUUUUAUGAGGCACAAACGGGAGAAGUUAUCUUGGAAGCGGAAGAACUACUAAAACUUCGCGAAACCAUCACAAGGGUUUAUGUACAAAGAACGGGCAAACCUAUAUGGGUUGUAUCCGAAGACAUGGAAAGGGAUGUUUUUAUGUCAGCAACAGAAGCCCAAGCUCAUGGCAUUGUUGAUCUUGUAGCGGUUCAAUAAAAAUAGGAGCGAUUUCAUGCAAAUCUACCACUGCUAAUUUUAUAUCUUUUUAGAUUAAAGGUUUAGUUUCAUAUUCUCUUCAAUAUAAAAAAAAAUAUAUUGAAGAGAAUCUUGAAGAGAAGUAAUUCAGAAUUAGCCGGUUAGAACCCAUCUAAACCAGCCCAUUAUUUAUAUGAUUCCGUAUGCCAACCAUUAAACAACUUAUUAGAAAUACAAGACAGCCAAUCCGAAAUGUCACAAAAUCCCCAGCGUUUCGGGGAUGCCCUCAGCGACGAGGAACAUGUACUCGGGUGUAUGUGCGACUCGUUUAGAUCAUAGACUGAAACACAAAAAGGAAAUUCUUUUUGAAAUAUCAAGGAUCAGUACCUGUUAAUAAAAUAAAAUAGAAUGGAGGAACUCGAUUCAUUAUUUCAAAAAGAUAGAUCAUUCAUAUCUUCUAUUGUGUCUGAAACUUAUGGUUUACAUUGGUG